UUCCACUUCCACUGGUGAGUUUCUUGAAGUAGAAGAUGCUUUCCUUUCUCUCAUUUUUUUAUUAAGUGAAAAAGAGAGGAAAUGAUCAUUAUGCCCUCUUCUUAAAACUCAACAUUAAUUUUUCCAUUUGCUUAAUUUUUCCAUAAGAAUGAUUCAAUCUUUAGAGAAUUUUAAAGAAAGGAUUCAAUUUUGUCUUUCGCAAUUGAGGAAAUAUUAAUAUAAUAAAAGGAAAAUUGAAUUAGAGCUUACACCCCAACCCCUCCAUUCUUCGAUUUACUUUAAACUACACAUGGGAGCAAGGUCGGGAGCCCCUUUAUUGGACUUUUGGUGAUGAUAUUUGAAAUGAGUUAAUGUAGAGAUUGUGUCCGCUAUCUUCACCUACAAAUUUUUAAAAAUCGACAAGUGAAAAUUUAAAGUGAAUAAAAGUAUUAAAAAUGAAUGUAAAGAUCACAAACCAAUAGGAUGGUCAAGGUCGGUUGGUUCAGGUUGUCACAAAGAUCUUUAAAAAAUGUGAUCCAAUUUUGGUAGUAGUCUUGUGAUUCUACCUUUGAUGCAGAAUCAGAUUCUCCGUGAAACCAUACAAACCAUGAAGGUGGCCCCUAGACUCCAAAGAAGCAUUGAUUCGUUCGAUCAAGCUUGUAUACCUACCAGUCCUUUAAAUCCCAACCUUUGGCUAGCUUUCGUAAGGAGAUGAUUUGCAAAAUUCAUUCCAGUAAUAACAAUAAUAGUAGUAACAAUAAUAGCGUAACAAUAACGAUAGUAAUAACAACAGUAGUAAUAAGAAGAAGAAGACGAACAACUCAGUCUCUAAAAACUGGUUUUGUACCUACAAGAAGUGACAUAGAAGAUUGAUUAAAUAUUUACAUGUAAAAUAAUAACACAUAUGCAAAGUUGUAGGAUCAGGUUCUGUUUCUCUAUAAUUCAAGUAUGGAUUAGUGAAGCUCAUCAGAAAUGUGAGGCAUGUUUCUAGCUAAUUUGAACAAGAAUCUAAUCAGCUCUUUGUUUUUUUUUUUAUCAAAGAGUUUAAAUAAAAAUGAUUUCUUUUACAAAAAGUAAAAUGAAAUCCAAAGGGUCAUAAGUUAUUUUAAUUUUGACUUAUUAUUUGAAUUAGACAACCUCUAGAUCAAGUCAAUAAUUCUUAUUUAACUAAAAUUAAUUAUUAAAAAGUUCAAACAUGAUAUCUUACCAAGUUUAAAGUUGAGAUUUUUAGUUCAAAUUGUGUGGGGAUUUGAUUAACACAAAGUAGUUUGAGACCCUCAAGUAAUUUCUAGACCACCAUCAUGGUGCAGUAUAUGCAUAUUAGAAUAAAUGAAUCACUCUAAAUAUUAUAUAUUUUACUAUAUAUGAUAAAGAUGGAUUCUUACUAGCUUAAACUUAUAUUUUUAUUGAUUGAAUUAAAGAAAUCUGCAUACAAAGUUGACUUCCUAAUUAUUACAUGAAAACACACUAAACAAAGUGAGGUUUGAGACCAAGUUUGAGUUCAAAGUUGAGCGGUCAUCUGUUUGAAAAUGAAUUGUUGAUAAUAUAAAAAUGAACUAUGAAGUAAAUUAAAAUUUCCUUAAAAGACUUUGAGCUUCAAAUGACGCAUUUGAUUUCUGAGAAAGUAACUUCAAAAUCUUUGAAAACAAAUUAAGUAUUUUUUCAAAAAAUUAUCCUUCCAAAAUAAAAUUUUGGAUAAACUUUUCAAUAGUCAGAAAAUUAAAAUGAAUCGAAAUUAAGACAAACUAAUGAAGACUUGCAGGCUCAGUAUAUAUCAGCAAUAAAAUGCACUAGAUGCUUGUUAAAACUUUGCAGUUUUCUUUUAAUUACAAAUAGGAAACGAACGCGAUAUAAGGUGCAUAUGGAUUACUCUGUUAUGAGGCUGUUCCUUUAGCACCAUACUAUCCCGAAAUAUAAUUGAAUAUAAAGUAUUACAUGUUGAUAUAACCAAGGGGGCAAGUAUUAAGCCCCACCCAGUACAUAUUGAUUUAGUUGAUAUGUAGUCUUUGAAAAGAGUGUGUAUGCUGGAUCAUAAGCCUAUCAAAUUGCAUAUGUUCUUCCAAGAGUUGGUGUUGCUGUUCUGUUUGUUGUUGAAAACUUUUGCAGUUAAUUGUGGUUAAACCAUUGCUACAAAAGUCUACCCCUAAAACAACUAAACUUAGACUAGCUAGCUUAAGUAUUCAUGAACCAUUGAUGCAUAAAUAUUUAAAUAAUUUCAAUUCCUUGAUUAGAUUUGUUUUAAUAAGUGAUAGAUUAAUGUUUAGAUCAACAAUUUCUUUUUUAAAAAAAUCAAAAUUAUUAUUGAGAUAUUUUCAAAUGUAACCUAAACGAACCAAAAUAUUAUUACUAAAUACUAAUAAACUUUUAUGCUAAUUCUAAAUAUUAUUUCAACUGUUGAUCUAUUAAAAUCAAUAAACUAAAAUUUUAGGCCAUACACAGCACGAGAAUCAGUCUUAAUCAGUAGAGAUUUCCAUCAAAGAUUUAUUUAUUUAUUUUUGUUAAGAGUAAAUAAGGUUUAAAAUAUACAGGUGGUCAAAAAAAUAUUUUACAUAAAUAUAAAUAUAACAGAAAUAUGAAUAAAAUGGAGAUGUGGAUAGAAAUUUUAGAAAAAGAAUUAUUAAGAAAACAUAUAUGUAAAUUAGUAAGCAUUCAUUUUAGAAUUCUUAAACAAUGUGAUAUGUAUAUUAUUUACACUAUUAUUCAAUUCAACAUUUUGGUCCAUCUCAAAUUAAUAUCAAUGUGAAAAUAUGAAUAAAAGUAUUAAGAUAUCAUACUAAAGUUGUUUGAGAUUGUUAUACCCUCGUCACAAACUACCUUCUUCAAAUAAUUCCAAAACAAUCUUAGUUUAAUAAUAUAACAUAUAAUAUUAAAAUGUAAAUUUCCCUCCAUAUAAGGAACUAGAAACUUUAUUUCCAAGAAAAUAAAAAAGACCAAAAUAUGGGUUGUUCAACACCCAGUAGUCUAGUUUGUGUUAUUUUUGUAAUGUCCACUGUUCUCAGCAUGCGACCAGCAAUCACUGUAAGCUCCGUCAACCUUUCUCCUCGGUUGUCGCCGCCACUGCCACCUCUACCAGCACGAAUCUCAGGGGAAGCUCUUUGAAUCGGUUCGACUGUGUAAAAGUUAGGUCCAAGCUUCAUGUUGGUUCUUUAGGCAAAAAUGGAGAUGGUGAAUUUAAAUUACCAUUAUUAUCGAAGCUACUUCUUAUGCCAAGACUUCCUUGGCCAAGACGAUACGCUCCUAAAUCACCACCGCCUCCAUUCUAGCAAGGGAAGUCUAUGUGCUUCACUUUAAUUUCAAAGAGAAUACCUAGACUCUAAACCAUUACAAAAAAGGUUGCAAAGAGUUCUUGUCUUCUCUCUCGUUUCAAAGUACAAUGUAUUGUGUUACUAUAUAUUUCAUUAUUCAAAUAAAAUCUCUUUUGUGGGUACAAGAAGAUAGUUUCAGGUUGAACUUUAGGGUUGUAUCUCUCUCUAUAUAUAUAUUUAGUAUCUAAAGUAUUUAAUUGAUGUUUGGACUUAUUUUAUUUUUUGUCUAGCUAACAUGCUUAGAUCCAAUUAUGAUGAGGGUGCUAUGAAUGUGUCAACCUAGAUAUUCAUCAUGCACCUCCUAAUUCCAAUAAUGUGCUUUAAUAUUUUAUCAAGAAAACAUAGGUCUAAACUUUUAAUUUGGUAUUAUAUCAUUCCUGAAAUAUUAAAUUUUAAAAGAUAAUUGAUAACAUAUUUUGAGAAAGAUGGUAAGAACGAAUAAAUAGGUAGGUUCAAAUAUACUAUCCUCAGGUAACAUCCUUCUACAUAACAACAUCUCAAAUUAUCCCCAACUAAGAUAAGAUCACCAAGAGCAUCUUCACACUUCAAAACUAUAAAUGGAUAUGAGGCCUUUGAAAAACAUCGUGUGACUUUAAAAUUAUAUGCAAAAUGAAAAGCUAUGCUAUAAAAUACAUUGAAUUUUGUUGUGCGCUUCCAUUUUUCCAUGGUGGAUCAAUCACAAUAAGACUAAAGCAAGAACUAGCUUUAGCUCAAUAGCAACCAAAAAUACAAUCAUACAUUUCCAAUGAGAAAAGAUAACACAAAGUUUUCAUGAGUGGUGUGUGGGUGUUUAUAUAUAUAAAACUAUUAUUUCUUCCAAAACCAACAUUUUUUUAUAUGAGAAAUAUAUAUAUAUCAACAAGAAGAGAGUAACCUAAGGGUGAGGGGUUGUUAAUUUGGAAAUUUGUUUGAAGAUAGUUUUUGAGAAAAUGGAAAGAGGCCUAUUAUCAUCCUAGUUUGUAUUGUGUAAUAUUAGUGCACCACGACUAAACUAUUUAAGAAAAUGUUUUCUAGAGAAGUUCUUAUUAAAAAAAGUGGUUCAGACAACAUUUUGGUAAUUGAAUUUUGGAAAAAACGGAAUAACAUCUAAGAAAACUAAACUAUGUUUGAGAAAAUAUAUUGAAAAAAAAUUGAAGUGAAAAAAGUUUAAGAAAAUGUCCUUUUAGGGUGUGUUUAGAGUGAUAGUUGGAAGUUAGUGAUUUUAGAAGAAAAAAAAUUCAGUUACAAUUGAUUUAAGUCAAUUUUUUACUCGUUUCCAAACUUUUAAAAAUGAUUUUCAAAUAUUUAAAUUGAUUUUCGCCAUGUGUUGGUCAACAAAAUUUCAUAUUUUAUUAAUGAUAGAUAGUGUUAAACUUUUAUAAUUCUAUCAAUAUUACCGACUAUUAAUGUUUAUCAUUGAUAAAAUCUAACAUUUUGUAAAUAUUUAGUUCAUUUUAUCAUAUUUGAAAUAUACAUUGAUAAUUUUGUUGAGAAGUCUAGAGAAUGUAACUUUACAAAACUUACAAAGACGAAAUAAAUUUUUACUCAACUUUUUUUACAAAAAAAAACGAUAGUAAGCUUUGGAUAAUUAGUAUGGUCUAAUACGUACUGAUUUUAGUAUAAGCUAUGAACUAAAUUAAAGGCAACCCUAAACGCAAGCAUUUAUCAAGCAAAUUAUUUAAUAUCUUUAAAUUAAAGUAUCCAUAUACCUUUUUUAGAAAAGUAUAAAUGUAAGAAAUAAAUUGUACAUGUUUAAAGGAAAUAUCCAAAUUUAAUUUUAAUUUUGUUAGAUUAGUAUGAAAAUACCCACAUUUUGAAAAAACAACGAACACUAACAUUUUAUUUAUUACGCAAAGCAAAAUCCAAUGCUAAAUUUUGCAUAGAGUUCAUUUGUAUCCAUCGGAAUUGAUGACACACCAAAAAAACGAUUUCAAGCCACAAUGCGAUUUUUUAUGAAAAUACAAAAUUUUGCGUAUUGUUUAAAAUUGUACCCUUGUGUUGUAAAUAAUAGAGAAUUUAACGUUAAGCACAAUGUUUUCAUCAUUGUUCAUUUUAUAAAUAUAAUUCAGGUCAUUAUUUGACAUCAGCACACAAAUGUCAAGAUGUCUCAUUCUUUUUUUUUUUUUCUGGCUGACCUUGCCAACUCACACCUAUCUUAUAUUUUACAAGUACUAAUAGGAAACUACCGUAUUAGAAUAAAAGGUAGGCGGGAGAGAGAUUUGCCAAAAAGAACCUUAGUUUGUAUCUUCACAAUGGGCUGUUCAACUGCCAAUAUUGUUAUUUUAACUAUUUUUGUAGCAUCCAUAGCUCUUAGGCUACCAACGGAAACCACCGCAAGAGCCAUUGCCGACCCUUAUCCUCUCUCAUGGCCGCGGUUGCUGAUAUACAAUACGGUGAUGAAAGUCAGGCUUAAUGAUGAAGCAGGGUCAGGAGAGGGAAGUGGAGAUGAUGAAUCUGAUCCACCAUUGAAGGAAGAAAAGGGGAGCAGAAAACCUUGGCCGAAGAACCCUGUCUCUAAAUCUCCACCACCACCAUUUUAGGAGGACAAAGUGAGUUUUUUCACACUUUAGCUUCCAAAAAACACACCCUAGCUCUUUUUAUUUUCUUUUAUUGUAACUACAGCUUAUUUAGUGCUAGUAUGAAUUAUACGUGAUAUGAAUUUUAACCUCAGAAGUUUGAUUUUAGCAUCACACGUCUUGUUAAAAAAAAUCCCUUAAUACCACAUCUUUUAGUCUUAUGUUGUAACCUUAAUACAACAUCCUUUUAUAUCUUAUAUUGUAACGUGUUCAUUGUAACUUAAUGCGAUGGUCAUCUCUACCACGAUGUAUACAUUUUGGUGAGAAAAUGUAAUUUUUUCAACGAACAUAUUGUAAUAGAUGGUCAUCACAAUCACAUGACAACUACAAUAGAUAGGGUUAGGGUCAUCUCAUAGGGUUGUAUAAAUGCAAUCCUGAAGUAUUACUAAGGCUAAGUCGGACAUUAAAUUUCAUACAUGUGUGAAAGACAGAUCAUUAAUCAUACAUAUACAACACAUCUUGUGAAAAGGGUCAUCCAUACAAAAGAAAAAAUCUUCAAUAAGCAAAUAGUCUCUAGAAUUUAGAGAAAUUACAAAGGUAUGAGUUGAGAGACUCAUCUCGGUUUGAAAAAAUUAACUAUAUAUAUAUCUUCAUGCAUGCAAUGUAUGUUUAGUUCGACUUAUUAAUUAAAAAACUAUCAACUGUUUAGAAAAUAUUAUAAUAUAUAAUAAAAUUUCAAAUUCUACUAACAAUAGUGUUAUUAGUAGACAUUGAUAAACUAUUAAUAUCGCUAAAUGUUGAAAAUUACAAAAUAUUGAAGGUUUUUAAUUUAAUAGCAAGGUAUCUCUUUUAAAUAUGUGUAUAAGGUGUAUCAAAUGUAAAUCACGUGCAUCAUGUAUAUCAGGUGAAUCAAAUAUAUCAGAUGAAUGAAGCGCAUGUGUAUCAAUUAUAUUAAGUGCAUCAAGCAUAUAUGAAGUGAUUGAAUGUAUUUGCAAGAUGGAAAAAGAGUGACAAGCAUGCAAAUCCCUAAACUCAAACCGUCACUCCCUGCCAUUUUCUUUUUUAAAUAUUUUAGUUUUGUUUGAGUAUGCGUGACAAUAUAGACAUGAUCCAUUUAUAUAAUAUUGUUCAAUUUCAUAUUAUAUACUUGCUUAAUGACAUUUGGGUAAAAAAAACGAAAUUAAUAUGACAUUUUUGUAAUUAAAUAAGUUAAUCUUUAUCAGCUUGAGGGUAAAAAAAAUGUUACACAAUUUUAGAGGGUCUUUCAAAUGUUCCACAUUUUUAAGAGGGUCUUUAAAGGUAAGAAAUAAGUUACUAUCACCCUGGUCAGUAUUAGUUUGGUUAUAAUAGUUUAUGUUAUAAGAGCGUAAAUUGUUUUCGUUUGGAUUAUAAUAAUAUGUAUUUAUAGUUUAUAUAUAUUUAUACAAUUAUUUUCUUUCCAAAUUCGGUAACAAAAAUUCAAAAUGAACCUAAUCAGCUCAUUGGUUUUUUUUAUCAACGAGUUUAAAUAUUUCUAAAAUAGUUAUUUAAAAUACUUUAAAGAGAAGAAAAACAUUUUACAAAGAAUUUAAUGGUUUUUUCAAUAAUAUAAAAAAUCGGUAAAAUACUUAUACUAUAUAGAAAAUUUUGAAAAAAGAAAAAGCCUACGGAUCCACAUUGUUAAAUACCAAAAUUACUCCAGUCAACAUGCGAUUAAUCGGCCACACAUGCACGAGUAAUAUUCUUCUAAAUGAUCAUGUACUACAAUCUAAACGAUGGUUUAAGAUACACAAUCAUGUAGUUCAUUUUAAAUGAUGGAAAAAAAGCUUCAAGUUUAAAUGAUUAGAUAAUAAACUCUAAACGAUGACGAUAAAUAUUUAGACAUAAACGAUUGUAUAAUAUAAUCUAAACGAUCGUCAGAUUCGUAUACACGAUCAUUUAUGUCACAAAUGCAAAGAUAGACGAUCGUGUAAUGAAAUAAUAUACUUUAAACGAUCGUGUUGAUCAUGGCAAGCGAUCGUGUGUGUUAGUUAUGGUAAGUGAUUGUGUAGUCCAAUGUAUAUGGUCGUGAAAAACUUCAAAUCUAACGAUCAUAUAUAAUACAAAUAUAGAUGAUCGUUUAGAUUUGGGUGCAGAUUUAGAAAAGCUUUAGAUGAUAUUUAAAUGAUCUUGAUAUGCUCGAAGAUGAAGAAGAAUAUUGAAACAUUCGUGAAAUAACUUCAAAGCAACUUGUCGAAAAUGAUGAAGAUGAAAUAGGAGAGUUAAACGAUCAGAUCACUUACUCUAAAUGUCAAAGAAAGAAAUAUGAAAAAGGAGAUGAAUUAAUUGCAAUCAAGAUGGAUAAAUCGCAAAGAAGAAGAAACGAAGAAGUACACCCAUCUUGUCGUGCAAUAUUCAAAACCAAAAAGACAUGUAUAUAUAUAGAAUUUAUUAAAAAUACAAUCAUACUCGAUGAGUUUUUUUUUUUUUUUUUAAUUUUGUUUACGAGCCCUAAAUAUUUAGGGGUUUAAUUACAUUUAUGUAAAUUAACCCUCGGUUUAAAAAAGAAUGGUUUUUUUUUUUUUUUUUUUUUUUUAAAAAGAAGUAGAAUCUAAGGGUCAUAAGUUAUUUUAAUUUUGACUUAUUAUUUGUAAUAGACAACCUAUAGAUCGAGUCAAUAAUUCUUAUUUAACUAAAAUUAAUUAUAAGAAAAAAUACAAACAUGAUAUCUUACCGAGUUUAAAGUUGAGAUUUUUAUAGUACAAAUUAGGUGGAGAUUUGAUUAACACAAAAUAGUUUGAGACUCACAAGUAAUUUCUAGACCAUCAUCAUGGUGUUGUAGUAUAUGCAUAUUAUAAUAAAUGAAUCACUCUAGAUAUUAUAUAUUUUACUAUAUAUAUGACAAAGAUGGAUUUUUACUAGCUUAAACUUAUAUUUUUAUUGAUUGAAUUAAAGAAAUUUCAUAUACAAAGUUGACUUCCUAAUUAAAAGAAAAAUAGUUAUAUGAAAACAAACUAAAGGAAGUGAUGUUUGAGACCAAGUUUGAGUUCUAAGUUGAGUGGGUCAUCUGUUUGAAAAUGAAUUGUUGAUAAUAUAAAAAUGAACUAUGAAGUAAAUUAAAAUUUCCUUAAAAGACUUUUAGCUUCAAAUGACGCAUUUGGAUUUCUGAGAAAGUAACUUCAAAAUCUUUGAAAACAAAUUAUCUUUUCCAAAAUUCAUCCUUUUAAAAUAAAAUUUUGGACAAUUUUUUCCAAUGGUAAGAAAAAUAAAAUGAAUCGGAAUUAAGACUAAGUAAGACUUGGGGGUGCGAUUAUAUAAGCAUUAAAAUGCACCAUAUACCUAUUAGAACUUUGCAUUUAAUGGUGGUUAAACCAUUGUUAUAAGUUUAACCUAAAACAACUUAUCUUACACUAUCUAGCUUGAGUAUUCACAAACCAAUUGAUGCAUAAAUAUUUAAAUCAUUUGAAUUUGUUUUAUUAUACUUGUUUUCAAGUGGUAGACUAAUGUUUAUAUGAGAGUUUUUAAAAAAAAUGUAAAAAUCAUUAUUUGUGUAUUUUUAAAUGUAACAAAAAAUGAACUAAAAUAUUUAUAAAAUGUGACAAAAUUUCAUAUUUAAUCAUCGAUAGAUACAAAUAAACUUUUAUCAACAUUUAUCAAUGAUAAAAUAUGAAUAUUGGUAUAUUUUGUAAUUAUUUUCAACCGUUUUUCUAUUCAAAUAAAUAAACUAAAAUUUUAUGCAUCAUACACACACGACACAAGGAGAAGAGAGAAUUGAACGACACUAAUUGUCGUCUGAUGUUGUGUUGGUCACCGCUUUGUGAAUCUCAAAUGGCGCAAGGUCGGGGGGUGAGGCGUCGGUUGGAUGAGAUAGGGAGCCGGUGAACAUGAGGAAGAGGGGUCGGUGAAAGGAAGGAAAAUCGUGAGAGGGGGCAUGUCUCUAGCACAAUGGAGAAGAAAAAGUUAUAUUAUUUUUUUAAAAGGAAAAAAGACCCAAUGCCCUAAACUUAACAAAGUGUUGUGGCCAGGAGCAACGUUGAGACUGAAUACCGAGCUAUGAGUUUGGAAAUAUUUAAGAAAAUUUGGCUCUAGAAAGUCCUGUUUGAUCUUCAUCAAGAAUGUGAGAUGUCAUUGAAGCUUUUUUGUGAUAAUAAAGCCACUAUUAACUUUGCUAACAAUACCACUCAACAUGAUAAAAGUACACAUGUUGAGAUUAAUUGACAUUUCAUUAAAGAAAUACUUGACAGUGGGAGCAUAUACAUUUCAUAUAUCCGAGCCAAUAGGUUGCUGUUGUUCUCACCAAGGGGAUUCUCAUACCAAACUUCGGCUUUUGUGUUAGCAAGCUAAAACUCAUUGAUAUUUAUGUCCCUACUUGAGAGGGAGUGUUAGAAUUAGUGGGCUUGACCUUUAUGAUAUUUAUGGAAAGAUUAGGAAAAGAUUUACUCUAAUUCCUAAAUCUUUUCCUUUUUUAUUCGUUGUAUUCUAUUUAUUCUCCAUCUUUCUAACUAUUUUUGUAACGUCCCAAAAAUUAAAAUAAUUUUUAGAGAUAACUAUCUUAGUUUUGUUUAAUUAGAUUUAAUUUGUUAGGCGUUAUUUUGAUUUCACAUCAUGAGAAUUUUUUGAAUUUAUGGACAUUAGAAUUAUUUUGAUAUUUGUUGGGUGAUAUUUAAUUAAUUAAAGGAUUUGAAUUUGUGGUGCUUGUUGAGAAUUUUGAUUUAUUGUAUGUUACGAUGUUUAAGUAAAAUUGUGGAAAUUAUUUAGUUCCAUGAAAAUUGAAAUUUAAUUAAAUAAUUUGGAUGUUAUUUAAUUCAAUUUAUUAUUGAAUUUUGGUUAAAGAUUAGGUAAUUAUACGUAUAUGUGGUUACAUAUAUAAUGAAAAAAAGAAGAUAAUUAUAUUUAUUUCAAAGAAAAUAUUAGAUUUUUGGAAAGAAGAUAAAGAUAAUUUAUUUGGAAAAGGAUAAUUAUUUGAAGGAAAGAUACCUGUAGAGAGACAAAAAAAAAUAUAUAUGUAUAUAAUUAUAUUGUGGGAAAACAUAAGGAUUGUAAAAGAGAUAAUUAUUUUGGUAAAAAGAUAAUUAUUUUAUGAGAAUGGAGAGUUGGAUGGAGAAUUAAUGAAGAGAGAAGAUUUGAUUUUGGAAAGAAUUCAAAAGGAAAAAGGAAAUUGAAAAGGGACAUUUUUUAAAAUAGCAAAAUAAAUUAAAAUAUUUACAAGCUAUAGUAAAAUUUUGGACUUUAUCACUGAUAGUCUUCUAUCACUAUAACAUAUUAAUUACUAUCACUAUAACAUAUCAAUUACUAUCAGUGAUAAAAUUUGUUAUAGAUUGUAAAUAUUUUGUAAAAUCUACUAUUUUUAAAAAGAAACUCUCAUCUUCUCCAUUUGACCCAGUCGUCACUGUUAUCGUGCAUCUUCGACCGCCGCGAAUCCUCAACCCAACUCCUCCGGAUGACGAUAUCCGUCCAAUGAAGCCCAUGAAUGCAUCCCAUUGUUUUUGUCUGAGCUGUCUUCAGUCGCGUCAACGAAUUCAAGCCACCAUGUGCAAAGUUCUCUGUUUGUUUGUCGGCCACGCCUCCUUUAAUUCGUCCCUUUAGUCCUAGCCUCUUUCUUCGUUCGUGGGCUGAGCUCUUUCAUGCCAAUAGAGAUGUGAGCCAAUCUGUUUUCGUUCGGCGAAGACCUUGCAAGUCCAAGCCGUGUGCGUUCUAUCCUAAACCGUGAGCCUUUCCCUGUAACCCGAGUUGCGUAAGCCACUUUCUCCUUAAGUCAAGUCACCUCAUUCUUUCUUUUGUUUAUCCAAGCCAAGCGCCCUCUCAUAGGCCAGUUAAGCUAUUUUGGUAUUUUUUGUGAGUUUUUUUAUUGGAUUUUGGAUAUAUCCAUCAAGUGGUAAAUUUUGGUUCUAAGUAUUUUAGUUUUGAUUCUUCCUUCAAGGUUCAUUUGGCUGAUAUUUUUGAAAAAGCAAUUAGUGGAAGUUUCUCAAUAAGGUUGAAAUGGUUUCAACCUCAACUUUGGGUAAGUUGAUUAAUUAGAGAAUCUUGGAGACCAUAUCCAACUGUUAAUAUUUAUUAAUUAAGAUAUUUGUUGUUUCCUUACGGUUUAGGAUCUGGUUUAAUUGAAAAUUGAUUGUCAGGAAAGGAUUAUAUUUUUAGUUAAUCUUGAGGUAAAAGAUUCUACUAUUAUGCCUUUGAACUUAAAAUUAAGAGCUUGCAUGUAUUUUCCAUUAUGCAUUUAUGUAGCUAAGAUGCAUAAUGUUGAUGACUGUUAUGGAUAACUGAUAUGAUUGUGAUAUGCUUAUGAUAUUUAUGAUACAUGAUAUAUUAAUCACAUUAUUAAGGACAUUAUGAUUAAUAUUCAUGUCAUGUUUAUGAUGUUUAUGAUGAUGCUACAUGCAGAUUUAUGACUGUGUGAGUUUGAUAGGACCACCAGUCUAUCAUGUUUAUGUUUAUGAGUGGUUCGACGGGAUCACUACAGCUCAAUAUCAUAAGUGUUCCUUCGGGUCACCGAUAGAUAAGAGUGUUCCUUCAGGAUCACUAAAUUGCUUAUGUUCUAUCAGACACAUAAUAGUUAUAGCCGGAUAUCAUAGGUGUUUCUUUUGAUUCACCGGCAGAAUGAGAGUGAUCCCUUGGGAUCACUAGAUUGAGUGUGUUCCAUUGGGCAAGAGAUAGUUUUGGGUAUCUCCUCACAGAAUCUUAAUAAAAAGUUAACAGACACUUAGCGAGAUUAAUAGUAGGUCCCUUACUGGGUAUAUUUUAUAUACUCACUCUUUCUCUAUAUUUAAUAUUUUAGACAAAGGUAAAGGAUCUGAAAAACUGGCGAGCGAUAGGAAGGAUUCGUGACAUGCCAUAUGGGGACACAGUUCUGUUUCUGUGUUUAUGUAUCACUUUUUCAAUAUUUUAUUUUUAGACAUUCUUAAUUAAAUUUUUAUGCUAUUUAUUUACAUUUAUUUUUUUAAAAGAAUUGUUACUUGUGUGGUUCAUUUAUUUAAUAUAAAUUUUGUUAAAAUUUUAAUUUUCUCUUUUCAUGAAAAUGUCUUUUUCUAUUAACUUUUUGAUUAACGAACUCGGUUUAAUAUAAAGAGUUGGGUUGUUACAAUUUUAUUUAUUCAUCAUAAAAUAAUAAAAUAACAUAUCGUAGUUUUUCUCUUGGUAUUCAAAUUUCGACGUAAGAGACUUGGUUUCAUACCAAUGAGGUUGUCAAUUCAUUUUCAUAUGAGAAAGGAAGAGAUUGUUAAAAAAUACCCUUGAUACUGUCAAAGACUUGUGGACACUAUUAAUUUAAGUUGAGAAAAAUUAAACAAAUGACAUCAUUUGACCAAGUUUAAAACAGAUCAAAUAAAUAUAAUUUGCCAAUAAGAGAGUUAUAUGUAGAUCAUGUCAACAUCCAUUACUCGUCUUUUCUUUUCUUUUAAAUAUUUUAGGUUUGCUAGCUCUUCAUUUUCAUCGUCUUUCUUCUCUUUCUCUGCUACAAUUUUUUUCUUCCAUCGUCUUUUUUUCUUUUUCUUUUAUUUUUUCUAAACGGUUGUUUGGUUCAAGAUUGUGUAUUAAUUAUAAAAUAUUUAUAUUUUUCAAAUUAUUGUUUGGUUCUUUAACAUCCUAUACCAAAUAUAAAAUAUCUUGAAAAAGAUUGUUUGGGAUAUUAGAUAGCCAAAUCUAAACCAUCAUAACAAAUAAUCUUAAAAAUCUUUACGAAUGUGUUCCAGUAUUCCAAAUCUAAACGAUCGUCCAAAAAAAUCUUGAAAAUAUUUGUUGAGAUUAGGCUACCCAACUCUUAUCGAUAAAAUCUGAACGAUCGUGUACCAAAUAUAAACGAUUGUGUACCAAAAAAAGUUUGAAAAAAAAAAAUCAUUGGGUACCCAUCAAAUUAAACGAUAGUGUAUAAAUGAUUGUGUACCAAAAAAGUUUUGAAACAUCGUUUAGAUUUGACCACCCAAAUUUAAACGAUGAUCCUGUACCAAAGGGAAACCAAAUCUAAACGAUCAAAUAUAAGCUAUCGUGUAAGAAAUAAUAGUUUGGAUGUCAAUUAAUUAUCACGAAACAUUUUUAGUAUUUUUCAUCGUAGACUUGUAACUUCAUUUUGUUUUCGAAAUUGUUAAAUAUUUGGUCGUUCUAUUAUAUGUUUUUUAAAAGACCCCAUUUAAAUGUGUCAAUCAAAUAGUAAACUCAUAAUUUAAUGUCAAUCACAUCUGAAAGAAUAUAGCAUGAAAAAACAAAAACAAUUUUGCCAGGUAUUAAAACCAAAUGCUAUUUAAUUCAGAGUCAGAAAACACUUAACAAAAACUUCCGAUGGCAGCACAUUCGUUUUUGCCAUUUUGGUCGUGGCUGUAAUUUCUCCAACCUCACCUUGGAGAGCCUCCGCCGACGAACGUUACGACUACCUUCUCUCUUCUUCUCCUUUGCUGCCGCUUCAUCAUCCAAUAAUCCUCUUCUUCAGUCACCAUGUCUCUCCCUCACCAUGGUCAUGGUCGAACAGAUCUUCCCGAAAACUACUCCGCCAUAUAAAUCCUGAGCGUAAAUACAACUGCCUCAAAGAACCUGAAAAACAAUUUAAAGAUCCAGUGUCUAGUCAAAAACCUUGGCCAAGGUGCCCCAUGCCUGCAUUUCCACCACCUCCAUUCUAGGCCUCUGUUUACAAGCUCAGUUGAUAGUAUGAUUCAUUUCACAACAAAUUGGUAAUAAAAAGAUUAGUCCGUCUAUCUUAUACAUGCUAUGAGUUCCUUUUUUUACCUUGCGUCAAAUUCUCAACAUACUCCAUCAAGAUGUUGCCUAUCAUGAUUCACCAAUCUCAUAUUCUCAAAUUUAUUUUUAUUGUACUAAAUAUGCUUUUUAGAUUUUGUGAGCUUUGAUAUUAGAUAGCAUGGGUUCAAUCUCACAAUCAAUUCAUUAUGAAAUAUGUAACAAAUCUAUUUUAUAAAGAAUUUUGAUUUUUUUUUAAUAUGAAAUUUUCAAUAAAUGUUUUUGGUUAUUAUCACUGCUACAAAAAUAGACUAUCGUGACGUUUUAAAGUGUAAAAAUUAUUAUUCUUGAUGGUUUUAAAACCGUUACUGAAGUCAACAUCAAGAAAGUCGAAGUUCUUGAUGAUUGAUAAAAACGUCAAGAGUAGUGAACGUUGACGUUUUAUAAACAUUAAGUAUACAAAUUUUCAUGACAGCUAAAAACCGUCAAGAUAUGAGUGUUCAUGACAUUUAAAAUCUGUUAAGAAUAUAAGUGUUUAUGACUUUUAAAAACUAUCAAGAGUACGAGUGUUCAUGACAUUGAAAAAUCGUCAAGCAAUUGAUUGUUUAUGACAUUGAAAACCCGUCAAAAAUGCAUUUGUUUAUGAUAUUUUAAAACCGUCAAGAAUGUAUUAUUUUUAUGAUUUAAAAACUAUCAAGCUUGUUUCAAUUUUUUUUUAAAAAUAUAUAAUUCUAUUAUAUUUUAUUUUAUUGUGCUCCUAUUGUCCUGUAUAGUGGUCCAACAGUUUUAUAAAUAUAUAUGAACGACGAUAUUCAUCAAAUAUAGUUUCAAAACUUGAACAUAUAUAAAUAUAACCUUUCACCAUAUAUGUAUAUAAUCAUUUCCAAAACUAUAUAUAUAUAUAUAUAUAUAUAUAUGAAUAUUUCAAGUCAUUGACAAAAACAAUAUAAAUAAUUUCAUCAGAUUGGCAACAAAUUCAACUCAACAUCCUAAUUAAGUAACUUAUCUAAAAAAUAUCUAGCUAUAAUAAAUCUAAUCUCAAUAAUAUACCAAUCAAAUAAGACUACAAUCCAAUCAAACUAUUGUUAUUCCAAAAAUUACAAGACUACAAUUAUAGUUUAAGAAACACAAACAUAUGAUUAAAGAAGUUUGAAACUCAAUGACCUUGUUAUGAACUUGGCUUCAACAACAAACUUAGAUUCUAGAACUUAAACAAAAAUACAACAAUCUCAAUUAAAAUAGGUUCACAUACCAACAUUUUAUCAAAUAUCUAUAUUGGUUAUGCCACUAAAAAAUGAAGUUGAAAAUGCAUUAACUAAUGCCAGUGAUCAUGACAAUUCAAAAUAUGGAAAUAUUAUAUGAAGUUGCAGCAGCCAAGACGAGCGGCAAAGUCUUCCUAGCGAAGACAACAAGCUCCACAAAACAAAAUAGAUUUCAGCAUAUGAAAAUGUAUUGAGAACUUGGGGAAAAAAGAUUUAGUUAUAAUCAACUCUUCAAAAAUCAAAUAAAAUUAUGUUGGGCUCACGAUAAGUUAGAAAAGUAGACAGUCCAUUAUAAACAACAUAACUAGAAUCAAAAUGGCAAGAAACACUGAAGAUACCUCUUCAUUACACCAUGGAGCCAAUAUCAUUUAUUUUGACUGAAGGCUUCACUAAACUCCUUAAUGAUAUGUUAUGAUGUAGAAGAAAUUGAAGAUUUAAAUCGAAGAAAAAAUUAUUUAAAAAUAGAAGAAGUAAAAUUUGGAAGAAGUGAUGAAAAAAUCUGAAAAAGAAGAAAUCACAGUGAAGGAACAAGAAGAUCAAAAGAAAUUGACAAAACAGACAGAUGUGAAAAUUAUGAAAAUAUAUUUUAGUAGCUUCAUAGACUUGUUUUUUCUUACCUGCCGUAAAUAUUUUUUGAUUUUUUCGUAAAUUAUCUAUAUUUUAAUGUAUAUAAUUACUUUUAGUUUUAUACUAAAAAAAGGGCCAAAGAGGAUGACAGAGAGAUUAAUUAGUUGGAGACAAAUGCAAGUGUGUGAGAGAGAAUAAUUUUAUAUGAAAAAUACUAAGAAAGAGAUGUUUAAUUAAUUGACCAUUUCCCUUCAUUUAGUUAUACAUACAUAUUUCUUUAAUAAGAUAAUAACAACUUACGUUAUUGAUAGGUUAAUUUUGGAGGAUUGAACGAUUCAAACUUGUAAUUGUUUUAUUCGGAAUAUUUGUUUGUGCACUCUAUAGUUUAAAAUAUUUGUACUAUUACAAAUAUAAUUAAAAUAGAUGUCCAUAGUCAAGUGUCAGUGUUCUCCGCAUCAAAUUUUUUUGGCAUAUGUUUUGAAGAUAUUAAUUCUCAGUGGUCAUUUAAUCCAUCUCAUGUUUUGUUAAAUGGCCAAUAAAUAAUGGCAUUUGAUGGAUUUUGUUAGACAAAUAUGGAUGAAAUUUCCAAAAAAAUUGGGAGGAAGUGGAAUAUAUUAGUGGGACUUUUACGGAAUUUGAACUUUUUUCUUAAAUUUUUUAUUUUAUUUCCUCUAAAAUUAUAUUUUUUUAGAUUUUCUUAUUGUUGUUGUGCCACAUUUUUACAUUAUCGGCAAGAGCUCUUAUAAUUUUUUCUACUAAAGUUAGGUCCUAAAGGUAUGCCGUAUUUUUCCUACACGUUAUAAUUAAUAAAUAUUAUUUUUCUUUUUAGUAUGCAUUAAAAUUCUAAUAUAAAUACAAUAUUAUUUUAUAAUAGUGUUACCUUGAAAAUAAAUAAAAAAUUAAAAUUUCUACUAUUUGAUACUAAUAGUAAUAAUUUUUUUUAUCAUGAAUACUUAAUACCAAAAUACGUCGAGAUGCCAUUAAAAAUAUGAACAUAAAAAAAAAAAAAUUAUUCUUUCUAAAGCUCGUUAUAAAGGGAUGUACUUAAGGCUCCAAAAUUUUAAAUCAAUAUUUUAGAGAGAUUUUCUAUGUAUCAGAUAUGCUCUUGUAGUAGCAAUAUUGAGAGAAAUAUUUUCAAAACUAUUAUGCACUAUUUAUCUAAUGUGUUCACAUUGAUGAAUGAAAUAACAAGUUAUUGAUUGAGAAAUUAUGAAUAUAAUAUCAGUCAAGUAAAGAACCUAGAUUUUCUAAAGUGAAUGUUGUAAAUUUUAAUAAUGGUAGAUGAAGAAUUACGAAUCUUCACCAAUCAAAACAAUCAAAUUUCCUGAGGUGGAUGUUGUAAUUUGACAAUGGUCCAUGAUCAAGGUUGUGAGCGCAUUGAAGGAAAAAAUAAUUAUUUUUUAUGGUUGGUUGUUGUCAUCAUCUAAUGUUCAAAAUUAAAGAACCAUAUGAAAGGAUGAUCAUAAAAGAAAAGCUCUAGAGGAAAAAGAGAAAAAAUGUGAAAGUAAAUUUUGCAUAUCAGAUUAUAAUAUAUUUGGAUUGUCCAACAUGACAAAUUCGGAUGUGGUAUAAUUUGGAAAGAAAAUUGACAUAUUUGAAAAAAUAGCAAGUGUUUCUUUUGUGAUUAUAUUUUGUUUAAUAUAUAUAUAUAUAUAUAUAUAUAUAUAUAUAUAUUUAUUUAUUUAUUUAUCUCUUCUUUUUUUUUUAUAUUCUAAGAUUUAUUUCUCUCGUUGUAAUUAUUUUAUUUAAUAAAGAAGCAUGGAUAGUUUUCUUAUGCUAAACAACUAAAAAACGAGCAAUGAAUUAAGAUAUAUGUCUGUUAGACAAUGUCAACUACCCACACAAUACUGAUAAGUAAAAUGUGUUACACUACAAGAAUCAAGAUCUUUCGCGACGCAAAAAACGUCGACAAAAACACAUUCUGCGUCAGAGAAGGUAUUUUCGACAUCAGACGCGACGUCGACAUUGACGUCGGGACACUUUCCCUAAUGCAUGACACGUCAACGUCAGUGUCACGUUCACUGAGCGAUGUAAAAAAAAUCCUUAUCCCCGACGUGCUGACAACAUGUCGAAAAAAGGCUUUCUCAACGUCAAUGCUCAACGUCAGGUUUGUCUCUUUCCCUGACAUGUGAUAUACGUCGGAGUACAUUUUAAUUUUUAAAAUUAUUUUGUUAGUUAUUUAACUAUUAAUUUUUUUUUCUUUUUGUAAUUAUUGUUUUCGGUUUCGCUUCGCAAGACAAUAAAAAAAAAUUGUGGUAAAUUAUGAAAAUUAUAAUAUUUCAAUUUAUAAUAAACAAGGUACACGAAAGAUGUUCAAUACAAAAAAUUACAUAUAAUAUAAAACAAUUACACGAACAUUAAAAAAUCCUACACCUAUCUACUAUGCUCUAGUCAUGGACGCUAAACCUAUAAAUGACAUAAAAGUAGAGUUAGAACAUCACAUAUACAAAAUUAAACAAAUUAAAUAUUGAAAUUAAAGUACGUACCCCAAGUGUUCACGGUCCUUUUUGUGUCCGACUCAUCUCCUCGAUCAUUUGCUUCAUCCGCUCCAUUUGUCGUGCAUGGUAUGCUAUUUGUCGGUCUCGCUCCUCCUCCCUCAGGUGCUGCUCUUCAAUCAUGUGGUUAGCAUUUUCAAGGCUUGCCUUUAGUUCGCUAACCUCUGCCAUGUGUGCCUUGUAGACAUAAAUAUUGGAGGAAGAAGCAGAAACAGAGCUAUUCUUGGACUUGUGUUUUGAGCCCUAACCAAGACUUUUUUAGUAGCCCGAUCAUCUACUCAAAACAGUCUCGCAUAUCUUAUCCUCAAAUAGUGGUUGAGAACCCUCUGGGACAGCUGAGACUGAAGUUCCAACAUUUGAUUAUGCACAAUAGAAGCUUGUAAGUUUGAGAGAUGAUCAAACAUAAAACUAAAAUUGAAAGUAAAACAAAAAGUUUUCAUAAACUUACAAAAGCGUCAUCUGCUAUAAAUAUGAACAUUGUAGAACUUAAGAGAAUCAGUUCGAUAUUUAGAAAACUUUGUGCAUUGAACAUUUUGAGCUUAUGGUUUGUCUAAGCCUCAAUCUUCAUGUAUUGGUAUUGAAAAUCUUUAUACACUUGUCCUGUUGAGACUUUUAGUUCUGUAGUCUUUAUAGAACUUAAGAGGAGUUCGAUAUUGAUAUUGUAUUUAAAGGGGAGUCUGAAUAUAGAGAAUAUGAGGGAUCUCACUCUCAAAGGGACCCUAACAUAUUGUAUCGAAGGGAUCUCAUACUAAGCUUGAAGAAUGAUUUUUGUGGAAGUGAGAGGUUGAGAGCUCAAACUUACGGGGAGCCUAAGCUGAAAUGUUGAAGAGCAAGCUAUACGAGAGUCACUAAGAAAAAGGUGUAUGUCAGAUAAAAUAGUUUCGCUGUAAUUGCUAAACUUUUUAUAUAGUGAAGUUUCGUUCCACUGGACACACUACCCCAAGAUGUAGGUGAUUUUGCACUGAACUGAGUUAUCAAUCUUGAUGUCAUUAUUUUUUCUUCUUGUUUUCGUAAUAGAUCUCUUAUCAUAUAUUUUGUAAGGGACAUCAUGCUUAACCUUGUGUCCUUCAUUAAACGUGUCAUUUUUUUUAAAUAGAUUAUAUAUUGAGAAAGCCCUAUUUACAUUUGUAUAUCAGUUUCGUUGGUUGAAGCACGAUGUGCCGAAAACAAAAUAUAAGGAAAAUAACGUGUGGUUUUUUUCUCUCUCAAGUUUGAGAGUUUUGAAUUAUUGUUACUUUCAUGCUAUCAAGUUGUAGCACUACUUGAAAGCAAAUAGUUUGUGUUGGUUAUUUGAUGGGGAUUUGUAGCCUUUUAUAAUCUCUACUAUUGUAGUAGAACUUGAUGUAGUUCCAAGUCUGAACUCAAACAAUAUAUUUUUAUAAAUUUCAAAUUCUAUCAGUAAUAAAUAUUGACUAUAAAUUACAUUGAUACACAACGAUAGAAGUCUAUCAAGUUUCUAUUAUUAUUGAUAAAAUCCAAAAUUUUAAUUUGUUAUAAGUUGUAAAUAUUUUAAUUUAUUUUACUAUUUUUAAAAAUGUUCAUUUUAUUUUUCAUAUUUAUUGACUUCAGCAAAUAUAUGUUUAAGAUACAACUAAAAUUCUAUUUUUCAGAAAAUUGUUGUCGGAUUAUAUGAAUUAUUAAAAACACAUAUUUUCUUGGUUAACUUCCAUAAAUAGAACAAACAGCUAAAAUAUUUACGACGUAUAAAACAAAUUAAAAAGUCCAUCAAAUUUACCAUUUUUUAAAAAAACUAUAGUUUGUCAUUUCUUAUCAUCAUCUUUCUUCUCUUAUGUUCUAUGAUUUUUUUCUUUUCCUCUUCUCACAUUUUUUCUUUUCUUUUUCUGCGAUAUUUGUUUUCUGUGUUUUUUCUCUUCUUCUACAAUUUUUUUAAAGUAUUUCCAUUUGCUCUUUCUUUUCAUAUUCUUUUUCCUCCAAUUUUUCUUUUCUUUUCCAUCGUUUUUUUCUCUUCUUAUGUAAUUUUUAUUUCUUUUCAUUUUCAUCAUCUUUUUCUUUCUUUGAUAAAUUUUUUAUUUUUUUUCAAACUGUUAUUUGGUUCAAGAUCGUGUGUCAAACAUAAAACAUCAUGAAAAAAAAUCGUUGGAAUAUUGGAUUGUCAAAUGUAAACGAUCGUGUACAAAAAUAGUCAAAUCUAAAUGAUCAUGUUCCAAAUCUAAACGAUAAUGUACCAAAAAUUCUUGAGAAAAAAUCGUUGAGAUUUAGCUACCCUAAUUUAAAUGAUCAAAUGUAAACGAUCAUAUGUCAAACGUAAACGAUUGUGUGCCAAAUAUAAAUGAUCGCGUCAAAAAGUUAUUCAAUAAAAUCGUUUAGAUUUGGCUACCAAAAUUUAAACGAUUAAAUAAAUGAUCAUGAAAAAUCUAAACGAUCACGUACCAAAAAAAUCUUGAAAACAUAGUUUAGAUUUCGCUACCAAAAUCUAAACGAUCGUAUAGGAAAGAUUAGUCAAAUCUAAAUGAUCGUUUCUCAAAUAUAUUAUGCGCGCUAGAUGCAAAUUAAUCGCAUGGACAUUUUGAAAUUUUCCAUUGUGGACCGGUGGGCUUUUUCAAUUUCCGAAAUUGUCCUAUAAGAUUUAAAUAUUUUGCCGCUUUGUUCUAUUUUUCAAAUGACCUCUAUUUUUUUUGUAUCCAAAAUUUCAACUUUAAGUUUUAAAAUGCAUAAUUAUAUUAAAUAAAGAUAAAAACAUUGUAAAAAGGUUAAUUGUUUUAUAAAUAUAAUAAACCGGCAAAAUAUUUACAACAUGUGUAACAAAAUGAAAAAGUCCAUGAAACUGACCAUUUUUUAAAAAUAUUUCAGGUUUGUCAUUUAUUUUCAUCGUUUUUCAUCUCUUCCUCUUCUAUGAAUUUUUUCUUUCCAUCGUCUUUUUCUCUUCUUUUUUUGUCAUUUUUCUUUUAUUAUUUUUUCAAACAGUUAUUUGGUUCAAGGUCAUGUAUCAAAUAUAAAAUAUCUUAUUUAAAAAUUUUUUUAAACGGUUAUUUGGUUAUUGCAAAUAUAAAUGAUCAUGAAAACAUUAUUAGAUACUGGAUAGCCAAAUCUAAACAAUCGUGUACCAAAAUAGUCAAAUGUAAACGAUCAUGUACAAAGAAUUUUAAAAAAUUAUUUAGAUUUGGGUAGGAAAAUUGAAAUGAUAGUCUUCCAACUAUAUAUCAAAUCUAAACGGAAAAUAUAACCGACCGUGGUCCAAAUAUAACGAUCGUGUACCAAAAAUCUUGAACAAAAUCGUUGAUAUUUGGGUAGACAAAUUUAAACGAUCAAAUCUAAACUAUUGUAUUCAAAAUAUAAACAAUCAUGUACCAAAUCUAAAUGAUCAUUUACAAAAAAAAAAAAAAAAAAAAAUCUUUGAUAUUUGGCAAAUUUAAACGAUCAAAUCAAAACGAUCUGGUACCAAAAAAAAUUAUGAAAAAAUGGUUUAGAUUUGUCAACCCAAAUUUUAAUGAUCAAACUUAAAUGAUCGUGUACCAAAAAACAUUGAAAAAAACAUUGUUUAGAAAUCUAAACGAUCGUGUAAGAAAUAAUAGUAAAAUCUAAAUGAUUAUUUUUCAAAUAUAUGACGCGUUAGAUGUAAUUAAUCACGGGAUAUUUUCUAUAUUUUUCAUUACAAACUUUUUCGGCCGUUUUUUAAAUUGUUUUAUAUCGUGUAAAUAUUUUAUCUUUUUGUUAUAUUUUUAAAAAGACUCAUUUCUAAAAAUAUAGUAUGUCAUGUUACAAAGUUAAUCCAAUUUGUAAAUUUUAAAAAUACAUAUUAUAAUGUCGUUGUAGACCAUUUUGAUUGUAGUGUAUAACUUCAAUUCAAUUAAAAUCUAAGUUUAGUCGUAAUGGUUUGGAUAAAUUUAAAAAUUAAUCUAUUUAAUUUUAAGAUUUAGAAUUUAGUUCUAUAGAAAUUGAUAUAACCUCAUGUAUAGUUUCUAUAGUUUAUUAAAUUCUCUUAAAUAAUAUCUGCUAUGAAAGUUAAAAUAAAGUUUUACUUACUACAGGGAGAGGGACGAAAGAAGGUUUGGCAUCUAAAAGAUAUUGAUCUGCUUGGUAAAUAGAUUUAAAGAUACUUGAAUAGAAAGAACAGCAUGUGGAUGCCGGUGAUCCAUGGACUCCAAAUAUGCACCCAUUUGUCCUCUCUCCAUCCCAAUCGUUUGGCAACACAAUAGCUCAAAAUCACAUGGUUUCACAUUGCCAAACUUCAAGCCAAUAAUAUAUUCUUGAACAUACUGCUUGGCAUCUCAACAGUGGCGAAAAGACGUACAUUUUAUUUUAUUGGUUCCACAAUUGGUCCUCUAUGAAUGUUCUAAACAAGAAAGCACCCCGAUCCAUUAUUUGCGUUGACCAACAAUCCUCCAUUGACUGUAUUAAUAUUUGUGUGCAAAUUCUCUAGCUAUGAUACUGAAUGAUGUCUGCUGAUAUGUUGAGUUCUAAAUUUAAUUUGCGUGUUGUAACUAUGAUGCAUGUGUAUAUUUUCCAUCUCUCUUAACCAGAAAGGCUUUUCUGUAGUCCCUGUAUUCUCGUUCGAACUGCUCUCUACCUCUCUAUGUAUAUAAUUCUUAUUUUGUUUGAAUGCAUCAUCUGAAUGAGGGUAUGGUAAUGUUCUACUAAUACGAAUCCCAGUUUCUAGUUUUCUUUUAAUAAUAAUAAUCGUUUAGUUACCAAAUUAGAAAAGACUCAAACAAACUUUUGGUUUUGUUUAGAGAACUAUGUUGAGUAAUUCUCAAGUCAAUUGACUCGUACAUACAUAAUAUUCAAUUAUACUUUUUCUCUAAUUAAUUAUUUCCAUUGACCUUAAGAUUUAAAAAAUAUCCCUGUAUAUUAUACUUGGAGACCAGAAUGUUUCUUCAAAAAAACUUGGAGGCCAAGAAAACCACAUGUCAGAAAACCACAUGUCAAUGUGUUAGACAAGUAAGAAAAACUAAUAAUUUUUCUUUUAAAAAAAAUAUGGAAAUACUUGCAAAAAUAGCAAAAAUAUUUAUAAUAAAUAUGGCUCAUGUCACUAUAUUUUCUAAAUUGCAAAAGUAACAAAUUUAAAAUCAAUAACUCUCUAAUAGCUUCUGAUCAUAGCCCUCUGAUAGCUGUCUGAUAACCUUUGAUAUCAUUAAUUAUUUGUCAUAUUCACAAUAUGCAAGAAGGAGGUAUUAUGAGCUGUUUUUUUUUAAGUAUUUUGGUCAUAUCAUGCAAUUUCUCAAAAAUAUACUUAGAUUGAAUUAGUGCAUCCAUCGUGUAUUCCACUAAAUUGUCCAAGGAAACUUUAUGAAAUAUUUUAAUUAUUUGUUUGACAUAAGUGAUGAAAUAGUGAUGCAUCUACGACUCUACAUAACUGCUCCUUAAAAAAACUAAAUAUUUAUGAAAUAUAGCAACAUUUUAAAAUUAACGUGACUAAAUUUUUCAUAAUUUAUAGAUGGUUUGAAUAGUUCUAUAUUUACAAUCAUUUCUCAUUUAUUAACCCACACACACCCAUAUAUAUCAACAAUAUAUAUAUGAAAUUAGUCCACUUUUAUUUGGAAAGAAAAAACUAGUUUACUUUAAUAAUAUUUAUUAACACUAUCAAUCAAAUUACUAAUAAAAGGGUUGCUCAGAUUUGUGGUUCAAAUCUCGACGGUCCAAUUUAUUAUGAAUUCAAUCCUUUUACUUGAUAAAGAGGUAAAUUAUUGUAAAAAUAGGAAGAAUACGUUUAAUUUUUAAAAAUGAAAUCGCUACCUAAGAUGUCCCAAUUGAUAGUUCUAUUUAAUGAUACGAAUAGAGAUUUGGUUCAAACAAAAACCAAAAACCCACACUCCAUGGCGCCACCAUUGGCUUAUCUAUUUCUUGCAAUUUUGUUGGCAGUGGCAUCCUUCUCUCCGAGCUCACUGUCGAUAGCCGCCACCGCCGCCCCAAGCUACGGGAUUCCUUACCCUCCUCCACUGCCACGCCCACUCUUGUUCCAUAACGACCACAGCUCUCUUCCACCGUCGCCAGCGGCGGAGGAGUAUCCGGCGAAAUCCCCCCGGCGUGUAAAUGGUGAACGUAAAGAUAAGUGCAGUGAAGCUCCAAGAAAUGGAAAUAAAGAUGCAAAGCCAAAUAAGGAUCCUUGGCCGAAGUGCCCCGUCCCCAAAUCGCCACCUCCUCCAUUCUAAGGAAUUUGAAGACUUUUUUAGCAGUGGAAAUUUGAACAAAAAAAUCAUGUAUAAUGUAAUUUAAGAAUCAAUAUUGAAUACAUUUAUCGGGAAUUCCUUGUAUUAUAUUUGUAAAUAAUACUAGUAAACGAUUGCAUUUGUUGUAUAUUAUAUAAUGCAUGUGUACCUUCAAAUUUUUUAGAUGAUGUUAUAUAUUUUCAAAUUUAAUACUAAUGUCAAGAUAUAUUUAUGCUUAACUUGACUCUUCAAUAUUUCCGCAGGGAAUAAAAUGAAUUAAAGUUUACUAGUAAAAUUUUAAAUUCUAUUAAUAACAAACAUUUGAAUAUCCUCUCUAUCAUUGACAUUAAUAGAGAGAGAGAGGUAGAAGUCUAUUAAUUUCUAUAAUGGAUAGAAUCCAAACAUUUUGCUAUAGUUUGUAAAUAUUUUAAUUUACUUUGUUAUCUUUAAAAAUGACCCCUCACAAUAUAUGUCAAUUUUACCUAAUGAAAAGUAUCUUAUAUCAUAUUUAAAUGACUUUGUUUUAGGGGCAUUUAUAAAAAUAGCAAAAAAGAAGAAAAAAAGAUAAUAUGACUCAUGUCACUCUAUUUUCUAAAUUGUAAAAUUAUAAAAUUUAAAAGCUGAUAAUCUCUGAUAACUAUCUUAUAUGACUCCCUGAAAUCAUUAAUUAUUUAUCUUAUUUAGUAAAUUUACCAUAUGAAAAAGAAAAAAAAAGAUAUCAUUAACUAUGUUUUUCUAAAUUUUUUUUUCAUCUACGUGUAUUCAAAAUGUAUUUACUACGUACAAUUUUCAACAAUAUCAAUGUAACUAAUUGUUAGACUUUUUCUUUAAUAUAUAUGAUUUGACUUCUUUUUAAUGUAAUUCAUAAAUUUGAACUGAUGACUUUUUUUUUUUUUAAUUUAGAAAAAGGAGCCAGAUUAUUUAUUUGAGACAAAAUCUUCAACAUGUCUACGGAUAAAAGUAUAUAAGUUUUCUUAGAAAUGGUAUCAAAUAUUUCAUUUAUACUGUUAAUACUAGAAUCAUAUAUAAAUUGAUACUAUUAUUAGUAGAAAACUAAAUCAAAGUUUAUCUUUCAUACUAUCAUUGAUAGAACUGAAUCAAGUAUAUUAUUGAUAGAUGUUAGUAGAAGUUUAUGGAUAUCUAUUUUUUUUUCAAUUUAUAUAAACAAUUCAUUAGAAGAAAUUUGGUCUUUAAUGUCGAUUUAAAAUCGACACUAAAGGUAUUUAAUGUUGGUUGGCAACCAACAUCUUUGCUAGCUUUAUUAACGUUCUUUUAAUGUCGAUUUAGAAACGACAUUAAAGGUCUUUUUAUAUCAGUUUUAAACCGACAUCUUUGAUGGUGUUAUUGAAGCCAAGGUCUUUAAUCUCAGUUAGCCUUUAAUGUCGGUUUUAAACUGACAUUAAAGAGCCCAACAAAAUCGUUUUAAGUCUUGUUUCUUGAUCUAUUUUUACAAAUUUAUUUGUAUUAACUUGUUGCAUUAUUAUCCAUUUUUUUAAUUCACCAAAUAGUGAAAAUAUUAUUUUAUAAACUAUAAUAUUUAUGUUUUACAUAGGUUUGUACAAAAUGAAAUCUUAGUAUUGUGUUUAUAUAUACAUUCUACAAUAAUACAUGAAACAAUAUCCUAAUACAAGACUUAAAUAAGAAAUCUUAAUCGUCUUCUCAGUCAUUAGUUUUCAACCUUCAACGAUCACUUGACUAUCUACACAAUCGCUUAGCUUUUAAUCUGAUAUGACAUCAAUCAUUCUACAAACAAUAUCUAAAUCAAUCAUUUAAUCUUUAAAAUUUUAACAGGGCAACUUUUAAAAAAAAUGUAAAAUAAAUAUGUUUCUAAACACUAUCAUAUAAUUCAAAUAAAAGAUAAAAACGUAUGUUUGAAACUAAAUCGAUUAGUCAAGUAUAGUCCAAGAUCAUGACAUUUUCAAGGUCAUGAAAAUGGUUCUUCAAACAAUUAUUAAUAUUCGAAACAACCAACAAAAUUAAACAGAAUAAGUAUCUCGAAGAUUAAGCUCCACAGCAAAAGGUUUUUUCAUUGAGUUUCACUAAAUAUACGUUUGGCACUCGAGCAAUACCUUUUAGAAAAAUAAACAACAAUAGAAUAUGAGUCAACUCAACUCAAACAUUCAAAAAUCUGACAAAUAUUAUAAACUCAUUGAUCAAUGCAUCUUUGUACCAAACAAUCCAUAUAUUUUCUAUCAAAACUAUGAUUUCAACUUGCUCUUAUUCAUAAGUUCAGCCAUAUACACCAAACAAAAAAGAGCUAUUUAUAUGCCCUUUAUAGUUUAUUUACAUUCUCUUUUAAUACGGUAGAAAGAUAAACAAUUACGCAAGAUCAAAUCUCUUAAAAAACAAUUUUUCAAUACCUCAACCAAAAAAUCUUACCUUUCAUGGAAAAACUCCAGGUGAAAAAUCACCUCAUUCAAAUGAAGAAAUCCAUUUGUGAGGAUUAAACUAGCAAAUCAGUUGUUCUCAAAACAAAAACUAGAAAAUUUUGGAGCUAAAGAAGUCGUCCUCAUCAUCUUCAACAUCGCCAAAACCUCUCUUACUCCCUACAUUAUUUUUCAUAAACAUAGCAUUAAAUGAGUAAACACAAGCCAAUCUCAUACCAACUAUUCAUUUCAAAUAACGUAAAAUUUGACCGGACUGCCUAUUGUUAUGCGUUCCAUUAAAAUCGUCUCACAACAAAAUACCAUUAAGAAGAUUUCAUUGCUACAACAACAAAAUAUCAUGAAGAAGCUUCACAAGAAAAUAUUGGUAUCAAAUUUUUCAAAAGAUUGUUUUUGUUGAUAUCAAAUUUGUUAUCCGAUCCAUGGAUAUUUUAAAUCAAAGGAGGAACAAAAGAACACUAAGAACAAAAUACCUUUGAUGAACCACAAGAAAAUAGUGCAAAAGGGAGAUAUAAUCUCUAAGUUUAUCAGCUGAAGUUCCAAAAGCCUACAUCUAGUAGUUUUGUAGUUGGAAUUUGUGUACUUUCCAGCAUACACAAAACUUAAAUAAAAUCCAUAUUAAUUCGUUGACUAUUGAACAAUCUAUAUACAUAUUGCAAAAUGAGAUUAAAAUAGAUACAACUUAUGUAACAGGUAAACUGAUAAUAUCCAAGAUUGUCAUAAGAAAAAUGAAAUACCUGACACAAUAUCCAAGAUGGAAGUUAUAAAAUGAGUAGGUCAACAAAAAUAUUAUGAAUAAGCUUCACAUUAUGAUUUUCUUCCCCAUCAAAGAAAGAAAGUGAUCCAUCUGUCCUCACCUUAGGAAAACAUUAAGAUAAAAUAUUUAGAAAUGGAAAAAAAAGAUCAAGUUUAUUUAAUAACCAACUAAAGAAAACAAAGUAUUUCUUUCAAUAUACGUACCACAUACUUUCUCAAUAAGUCAUCUUCUUUCUUUAAAUUUGGUAAACUCUUUGCAUGCUCCUACGAUGUUUUUGCCUUAUGCACUUCAUUUAUUGACAUCUGAUAAAAGAGUUCAACAAUAUUUGACAUAAAAAGAACUCAAAGAAAAUUUCAUAAAUUCGUCUUGUCUAUUUCUUGAAUUCAUUGUUGAAAGUUGCCAUAAAUCAUUAGCUAUCACAAUUACUCUUCUCCCCCUCGAGAGAAGCUUCAUUGUUUAAGUUUAGAGUGCGUUUGAUUAUUUGGAAAAAAAAUUGUUUUUAAUAAUACAUUUUCUUUUAAACACUCUCGAGUUUAAAAUUUAAACACUUACAUAUUUGGUUAGAUAUUGUUGUAGUUAGUGUUUUCUUUAUAUAUUUUUGUUAGAUCUUCCAUAUAUAUUUUCUCAAAUUUUGAUUUUGAGUGUUUUAUUUUUAAAUAGAUUAUAGUUUAAUCUCAUUUUAAAAAAUGCUUCUUAAAAAGUUAUCAAACGCCUUUAAAAAAAUUUAAAUUAUUUUUUUUUCAAAUUUAAACACUUUAAAAGGUAAUACAAACAUAUUCUUACUCUAUUAACUCACCACAGUUGUCCCGUUUGCGGUCGUAAAAAAACACACUUCGAUUUGAUACUUGUAUGUUAAUGAAGAAAAUAUGCUUUGAAAAAAUAUUCUAAAAUCAACUUUAGUUUAUAUCAAAUAUCAUGAUCAUUUUCAAGAUUAGGAUUGGAAGUGAUUUUCGCCGAGAUAAAUUUAAAUGAUUUGGAUUCAAAUACGUCCUCUGUGAAGGGCAACGUAAUCAUUGCUUCUCUUAAACGCUUAUUAGAGUGAAGUUGUUACUACAAGAAAUUUGGAUUUCUGACAUUAGAUGACUGUGUCACACCCUGCCUCACAGACGUCUUUGAUCGUCUUGCGAGACACGACAUGACUUGAGCAUUUUGACGCGUUCAAUGACAAAACACUCAUCUUGAAGUCCUUAAGCUUUGCUUAGAUUAAGCAAUUUUGUUAAGAAAUCAUAGUUUAGGAAAUAUUAUCAACUUAACAAACAAAAAUAAGCCAACACCUUACAAUUUUGUUACAUACGCAUACACAUAAAAACAACAAAUUUAAACUUAAGCUAAAACGCCUUGGCCUUCUCCCUAGCAAGCCCUUCAAACUUUUCUUACUUGUUUUAACGUCUGCUUUGUAGAAGAUGAUUUUUAAAAAAAGAAAAGUAUACAUACUUAGUGCAGUUUUAAUAAAUCUUUUUCGCAAAUACCUUUUAUAAACAUCAUUUCGCCAAACCUAUCAAAACAUAUAAAAUCAUCUUUACAUAAAACAUAACAAUUUUGUAUGUAAACAUUUCAUUUCGCAUAACACCGCUAUAUUAAAUUCAAGUUGUACAUUCAGAAAUUGCAUCAAAUGACAAAAAACAUUUAGAACAAAUAACUAAUGACACCAAUUUUUUGCAUAUUGCAAAUAUGAAAAAUUUAGUGAUAUCAGACAGCUAUCAGACGGUAAUCAUAGGACUAUCAAACGGUAAACAUAGGGUUAUCAGAGGGUCAUCACUUUUAAAUUUGUUAUUUUAGUAAAUUUAGAAAAUGUUAGUAACAUACGUUUUAUUAUCAACUUUUUUUCAAUAACUAUUAAAGGAUAUCUCUAAUUUACCAUUUUAGGUUAUCCAAAUUCAAAAUUAAAAUAAUAAUAAAAAAUUGGUUCAAAAACACUUUGAGAUUCUAAACUUCUAUAGAAAUCACAAUUUAGUGUUUGAAUUUUAGUUUGUAACAAUUUUGUAUUUAAAUUUUUAAUUUUAUAAUAAUUUAAUUUUAAACUUUAUUACGUAACAUUUUAGUUCUUAGAAUCUGUAAAAAUUUGAGUGCGAAAAUUGAAUGAGCUUUCUUGCCUAAGAAAAUAAUAGACCUUAGGUACUUGAUAAUUUUUAUAUAUCUACGUCAAAGAAUAUUGAAAAACAUAUAUCAUCACGUUUUGAUAAAUUGUUAUAAAUUUAAAAGGUACCAAACUAAAUUGUGACAUAAUAAAAAGUAAUUGUAAUUGAUAGUCAUUUUAGCAAUAAUAAUUAAGGAUGUAGUAACAUUUAAAAACAAUUGCAAACAUAGCAAAACUAUAAGUGACAAACUUGUGUCGCUGAUAGACUCGUAUGAGUUUAUCAGUGAUAGACCAAGAUAGACCAAUAUUUGCAAUAUAAUCUAUCGGUGAUAGACUCCUAUCAUUGAUAGAAUUUGACAAAUUUUGUUAUAUUUACAAAAAAAAUUAAGUGUUGUUAUAUACUUAAUUAUUUUGAAUCUAACUGAUAAAUUUAGAACUAUCAUACACUAAUUCAUAUAAAAUUAAAAAUACACAUAUUAAAUUGUUAUAAACUAAAUUGUAGGAUUAAAUUAUAACUUUUACAAGAGUAAAAAUUUUUAAUCUAAAACAUAAUAUAAAUAAAUAAAGGGGAAAUUUUUAUGUAUAAAAAAGAAAAAAAAAAGACUCUGGUGGUCUAUGGAGACUUUGAUAAAUUUUUUUUUAGAGUACGUUUGCCACCCAAUUUAAUUAGGAUUGCAUCCAAAAUUUCAAAACAACAGAUAGAUAAACGCAUCAUUAGUAAUUUAAUUGGAAGUAAAAAACUAUUUUCUUGACAAGUUUUGGUUCAAAUUUCCUUUGUCAAAAAGUAAAACAUCACAUCUACUCUCAAAAUCUAUUCAAUUUUGGUCAUAUAUCUUUAUUUAUUUAUUUAAACACUUAUAAAGUCAUAAUCCAAACAUACACUCAACUAUAAUGUAUUUUGAAAUUUUCAUAACUUCAAUCAGACAAUCAAAGGAAAUUGCACAAAAACAUUUAGAAAAACAGUUCAUGACACCUCUUUUUAGCAUAUUGCGAAUAUUAUAAGUAUAACAAGUAAUUUCCAACAAUAUUUUACUUUUAUUUAGGCAAAAUGGCAAAAUGGUGAAGCAUAAGUUAAACACAAAAGAAUGUAAAUUAAACGGAAAUUCCGCAACACUAAAUGGACCUAUAUUACGACGGAUUUGACUCAUUUGGCAUCUAAUACACCAACCCCAUCAUACACUCAACACAUUCCCUUCUUCUUCUUUUAAUUUUUUUUUACUAUACUAAAACCAUAAUACAUAUAUAGAUAUAUAUAUAUAUUUAAAUAUAACAAAAUGUUUUGACCUAUUAAUGAUAAAUAUCGCUAUACACGUGCGAAUCAUAGAUAAUAAUAUAGAGUAUCACUAUUUGUCCCUAAAUUUUGAAUUUAGCUUAUUUCACUAUUUUUUUAAACAAAUUUAAUAUUAUUAUUUUAUUUUAUUUUUGUGUAAAUUUCUUCUGCUCUUUCUCUAUCUUACUUUACCAAACUACACAAAAGACUCAUUCAACACUCUACUUCACUUUCACUUUGCACUAAUUAGGGUUGAAAAAUACUGUGAAUUAAUUCAAUACCUAAUUUCUUUUCCACAUAGUCAAUUAAUCUAUCCUUUCAUCUUCAUUUAAAAAGAGAGAAAAAGAAAAGUAAAAGACGAACCUACUCUUUCAUCCAACGCCACAUUUUUGUUCUUUCAUAAAAUAUCGUCAAAUUUGAAAUUAGUACUAAUAUUAAUGAAUAUUAAAAAGAAUAAUAGGAUUUCCACAAUAAUAAAUUUUAGUGUAAGUCUUACUUUGAAAACUAUUUAGGUUCUGUUCAUUUUUCUCUUUCCUACUCACAUAUAUAAGUUUUCUUUAGAUUAUAAUUUCCUUUUUUUUAAAAAAAAGAAAGAAAAUCUAAAAAAUUUAAAUGUUUUCUUAAAAGAUUAGAUGAAAUUAACAACGAAAAAAAUUGGGAAGAAAAAAUAUAAAUUAAAAUGACUAACCAUGGAUAACAAAUUCAAUAUAAAAAAAAACAGUUAAUUUAUGGAUUUGGUUUUUAUGAAAAUUCUCAUCGUUUAUUUACAACAUUUUCAUCUUUCGUGGUAAAAGAAUUGAAGUUUUAGCUAAAUCUGAGAAAUAUUUUAUUUAUUUAUUUAUUAAAACUUGGGUUUAAUUUCAUAAUAUUUGAAAAGUCAUAUAACAAAACCAAACAAAAAGUCAUAUACAAAAAGUUGAGUUAUUAAAUGUCCUCGAACAGUUAUUAUUUAUAGUUUCUUACUUUUCCUGAGUAUAUAAGCUUUUUGCGAAGCAUCAAAGUCUAUGGCGGCGAGCACCAAAAAUUAAUUAAUAUGGAAGUAUAUAUUAUUUUCGAAAUUAUAAAUUUAUCAAUGUACUAUAGAGGGUUUGAAAACCUAGUUUGAGAUAUACAGUUUCACACAGUUGAAUAGAUGAUUCUAGUCUCUACUGGACCAUUCUCAUAUACAAAAGAAAAUUAAAUGAUCCAAUUAUAAAUGUCGUUUUCAAAUAAACAUUAUUCAAUUCGGGCGGCAUCUUCAAUAUAGCAUAUACCAAACCCAAUUUGCAUAUAUGAAAAUUCCAUCUUUUCAAUCAUUUCAAUUAGUUUUUCCAAAUUAUAUUAGAUUACUGUUCCUUUAUAAAGGAGACUUAUGAAGAUUAUAACUUCAUUAUAAUAAUGUUAAACUUUUACCUCCUACACCACAGAAAUGGCUGCCACCUGUGUUGACAUAUUAAAAGUUUAUAAAGACGUGUGUAGAUAUUGAGAUGCAUGAUUUAAAAUAUAUAGAAAAUUUUGAUAAUUAGAAAGGUAUUGUAAAGAUUUGGUCACCUACCGCAUAAUUAUAUGAUUCUUCUCCCUAUAUGUCAGUUCAUGGAUUUCAAUUAUAUUUACUCCUUCUUCGUCUUUCUUUUGAAUGAAAUUCAAUAUUAAUCUAAAAAAACAAAAUAUGAUUUUUAUUUUGUAGGAGUUUAGAGAGUUAGAACACUGGGAUUUGUUGUAUUUAAAUGAGAGAGGUCCUAAACAUAUAUAAAAACAUGAUAAAAAAGAGUUAAAAGAAUUGAUGGUUAAUUUUUGCUACUCAUGUCAAGUAUUUUUCAAUUCUCAACAACAGAAACUUCAAAAUAUAUACUAAUUAUGUUUAGAUUACUUGGAUGACCUGAUCUUGGAAAGUUUAUUAAAAAAGUGUCCCUUUGUAUUCAAUGUCAGCUUGGACUUCACCAUGUUAAAUUAUCUAUCAAUAAAAAGCUUACCAAUUAAGAUAAUUGAUUCAAUAUCGAUGCUCUAACACACACCCUUCACUAGCUCCAAAUUUUACAUCUUGGGUUGGAUGAAAAUUUGAGAAAUUUUUACAAAGUAAGUUGUUUGAAAUGGAUUGUUUGAUAUAUAUGGUUUAAUUUUAAUGAUAUAUAUUUGAUUAUUUGGAAGUGGGGUAGUAAAGAUUUUCUUUGUUUGGUUUCUUUUACUUUAUGUGUAUUUUAAGCAUCAAAAAUAGAGAAUAUCUUUCGUACUUGCACGAUUUUAUUUUUGGGAUUUUUGAAAUUUUCAUAUUUAGAUUGAUUGUUUAUAUUCUAUAUCUGUUUGAAGGUUUAUGAUAAGAUGUAGGUUCAAAACAAGUUUUGUUAGAAUUUAUUUUCAAAAAUAGCUAGGGAGUUUCUUCUACAAAUAUGGCGAACCCAACGAACUAUAGUGUGUAACGAUAAUUAAACUUAAAAUUUUUACUGCAUAAUUAUUAGGAUUUUUAGUUCCUUGAUAUUUUUAAGUAUAUUGUUUAAAAUUUCCUACUUUGACUCUUGGGUUGCUACGGUUGUUCCAUAAAUUGUUUUAGAGUUGCCUUGUCUCUGCGAUUGCUUUGUUGUUUGUGGAUUCUGUCAAAUGUGUUUCCUUCCAUAUUUAUAUUGUUAUGCAGAGUUUAUUUGUUGGGAUGAACCGAUUCGUUUGGAGGAUAUUUUUCUUUGUUCCGUUGUGAUACUUAAGCCUAAGGAAAAUUUUACAUACUAAGGAGCCUAAGGAAAACUUUUCAUAUUAAUUAAGCUAGGGUUGUUGCACAUGUUGUUUUGCUUGUUUGUUCAACAAAAGCUUGAGAGAAUAUCGUCUUUCGUAGAAAACAAUUUUUUUACUUUGGCGACAUAAAGCUGUGAAUAGUUUUGGAGAGUUCAUCGGUUCCAAGGUAUACUUCUGACUACGAGUUUGGUCUUGCAAGCUCGUGUCAAAUAAAUAACUUAAUCCAUUCACCAAGCACUAGUCUUAAUGGCAUGCUCGAGUCGAUCACAAGGAGUAUACUAAUUCUCAAACAAACUAAUUUUUAUCCACAUGUGACCGAACGGGGUUUUGAGUAGAAAUUGUUGCAAGGAAGUAAAUUUUAGUGAAAGAAAGCAAACCAAAGAAAAUUGUAUUGUCAAAGAAUCUAACUUGGAUUGUGAUAUCUUUCUCCCUUAUUCAAAGAAUUCAUUCAUCGAACUAUCAUAAUUACUUAAAUACAUGGAAUCUUCACCUAAACAAUUCAAUUACUUCAUAUAACUAAAUUGUCCCAAAGUUCUUAUUGUUUUAAUCAAUACGAUUAAGCAUGCAAUAUUGAAUUUUCCAAAAAGCAUUAAAUUCUAGAGAUCCUUACGUGACAUGCCUAAUUUUUUUUUGUAUCUAAUUGACACUCAAUAAGCUCAAAGAGGGCAUUAUUGGAAAUUUACACAAGAUAUAAAUAAACAAGAAACAAACCAAAUUAUAUAUCAAAUUUCCACUUCACAAAUUAGAACUAAAUAAGCAAUAGAUCAUAAAAUUGCAAAUAAUAAAGCAUAGGGGAAAAAGAUAACACCGAAAAUUAUAUCAGAUCGCCCUCGAGUUGAAAUAAUAUGAAGACGUGUAUACAUAUUCAAUGUGAAAUUCAAAACCAAGAAGGAUAAAUUUAAAAUUUAUUUAAAUACAAUAAUAUGAUGACUUCAUCAACUUUUAUUCAUGGUACAUAGGUAGUAAAUACUUUUUAGUUAACCCUAAUAUUAUUUCUUUUGGAAAGAAUUCACCUCCAAAUUAGCCAAUCAAAAAUAGACUUAUGAAUUAAGGAAAUCAAUGGGUUGAGACAAAAUUUAGGCUUUGGAGUUUUGGCUCCACAUUUCCUAACAUGCAUAUAUCACAUCUAUAAACAAUGAUUUAUCAGGUUAAUUUUCUAAAAAUAUAUAUGUUAUAGUUGAGUAGUAGCAAUAUGAAACCAUGAUCAAAGAGUUAUUAUUGGCGUAGCCAUUAAUGUAUAAUAAAUAUGAGAAAUAUUUUGAGAUUGUUAUAAUUGUGAUUGUUCUAUAAAAUUAUAUGAAUGCUAUAAUUUAUUUACAAACAAAAGUAAAUGAAUGAUAUAUAUGAACACAUAACCACUAGUUCGAUCUUUAUUAAAAUUUGUAAACACGUUUGCGUUUUUUUUUUUCAAUUUGUUAAUCCUUUUUAAGAUUCUCAUGUCUUAAUGCUUUAAAAUUAAAACGUGCAUGUCUAAAGUUAUGAAAAAGUAAAAUAGAUUAUAUAUUUUACUUUUGAAUCGUUACUUUAAUUAAAAUGCUAGAUUAUUAGUUAAGGAAAUCGAAAGUAAAAAGAACACCGCAAAUUUGACCAUGUUUGAUGAAUAUUACCUAUUUAUAGAGACUAGAUAAAGAGAUUUGUUGAUCGAGACUCAAAUUAGUAUAACAUUGCAAGAAAGCUACGUUAAUUUAGAUGACUUCCUCUAGAUUUUAUUGGUACUAUUUACCAAAGAUCAGACUCCCUUGACUUUGAUAUUUGAACCUAUAGAAGAUUAUCAGUUUUCAUUGAUUUAGAUCAUUGAAAACAAGCAAUUAUUAAGGUCUUACCUUCUGAUUAGGGUUUUUCUAUAGUUCUUUGUUCGAUGUGCCUAAUUUCAUUCCUCGAAAGAUAAAGAAAAUUUCUUUUAAUAGAUAGAGUUUGAUGAACUUAAAAUCGGAAUUGGAAAAGUAAUCUUCAAGGAUUUUACACUUACCAUCGAUCUUUAAAGAUUUUGGUAAAAGAUCUUGAAGAAUCUUGUUGAUAAAGUAAUUAAAAUAUCUUAUUGAAAAAUUCUUCGUGUGAGAGAAAAGUCCAUCGCCAUAAGAUAGAUCAACAAAAAUUCCUAAAAGUUUUGAAUGAUAUUUUUUAAAAAUAAUUCAUAACGAUUUAAUUAUAUGAAAAUAAAAAACUAUCCUUUCCUAAUUUGGAAUGAUUUUUUUUUACUUGAAGACAGAAGAUUUCACUCUCAAGACCUAAGUGUGAUGAGUGAAAAGGUUUUUUCUCUUAUUUUAAAAAGAAGUUUAACUGGUAUAGGAUGAUCUCAACACUAAGUAGAAUACUAAUUAAAAUGUAUUUACACACACAAAAAGUAGAAAAUUAAACCAACUAAAAUAUUAAAAAAAGGUCAUGCAUUAUAUUUUUUUGGAAAAUCAAAAUAUUAAAAGAUUCGAAUCUCUAUUUUACGUACGUACUAUUUAGACUAAAAAGUGUAGCAUUCGAGUGAUUGCGUAGAAAAAAUCUUAUUAAGUCUAAAACCAAGUGUAAAAUCUUAUAAAGUCACUACAAGGUAGGAAGGACGGAUCAAAGCAAUGACAAACGAGGUGAACCAAGCUACGAUAAACAAAGGAAAUGUAGCAUUCAAAAAUUUUAAGUAAUUUUGUUACUUAAUUUAAUUGUGUUGAAUAGUUUAAUAUUUGAUUAUUGGAUGUUAGAUUAAUUGGAAUUAAAAGUUAAAGGAAUUUAUUUUGGUUAUGUGUUGGAUUGAUUAAGUAUAAAUACAUGAGUAUGUUAUUUAAUUAAAGAUUUUGGAAUUUGGUGGUGUAUGUUAUUAAUUAUAUAGUUUUGGUUUUAUAAUUAAUUAGUGGAAAUUUUUUAAUUAUAUAUUGAAAUAUAAUUUUUGUAAAAAGAUGGAAUUAAUUAUGGAAGAGAAGGGAAUGUAGAUAAAUAUGUAUAUUUCAAGAAAAAGAAUUAAAUAAUAAUAAAGUAUUAUUGAUUUUAUUAUUAUUUCGUUAUAAAUUAGGGUUCAUGCGUUAAUUAUCUAUGAAAGCACAAAAUAUAUUCAUCUUUUUCCCCAACGUACUCGAGUUGCUAACUCUCUCCCUUAAUUCUUCUUCGUUGUUCUUCGAUAUCGCUUUCUUCUUCGUCCAACCUCAUCUGGAUGAGUUGUGUGUUGUCUGUCAUCAUGCUCACCGAUUUGGUUUAAGAUUGGUGAGUUGCUUGAGUGUUUUUUGUCUUUGUGUAGGAUUUUAAUACCCAAUAAAAGUGAAUUGAGAAACUCUAAAUUAAGUUUAUUAUUAAAAUUGAUUUUGGUUGCAUACGUUUGGAAGGUCCCUUUGAAAAAACAUGGAUUUAAGUGAUGAAUUUUUCCAUCAAGAUUGAGAGCAUUUUCAACUUCCAUUUGGUAAGCUAAGGUAAUUAAAUUAGUAAUUUGUUGAAAAUCGUUAAUUUAAUUUUGGUUAUGCAUAAGUAAAAUUGUGGUUUUCAUUUGCAACAAAGGAACUUAGCAUAACCUAAGGUAAGAGUUAUUCUACUACUGGAUACUCGAUUAAGGGUUCAGUUACGCUGUGAUAAUUAAUGGUGAUACGACUUUAUGCAUAGUCUGUGAUAUGUUUGUAAUGGUGAAUUAUCUGUAUAACCUAAGGUUAGCUUUAAUUAAAUUGUGAAGGGUAGUCAUUGAAUUAGGUUAAGGUGUACAAGAUAAUUAUUUGCGUAUGCUUACAAUGGAAAUUGUCUAUGCUUGUUGUGAAGUAUGAUAAUUAUUUACAUGUCUAUUAUGAAUUACUGAUAUAGUAUGUUGUGAAUUAGACUCUGAUGGUUGUGAAGUAUGAUGAUUGUUUACAUGCUACUAUGGAUUACUAAUAUGGUAUGUUGUCAAUUAGUUUACUGCAAGUCCAUUGUUGAUGAAUUGUUUAUUUGGCUUAUGGGGUACUUUGAUAACUGUUAUGGAGAGUUAUUUGCAUAUCCUAUGUGUUACUGUAAUAAUUGAUGGAUAACUAUUGACUUAAUUAUGAGUUACUGAUAGUUUAUUAAGGGUAGUAAUUGGUUUGGUCUAAGGCUAUCGUGGAAUGUGUAAAGUGCAAUGAAUUUGAGUAACCUGUGGUAACUUAGGAAUGCUUACGGUAAAAAGUACGAUGCUUUUUGCAUGCCUAUCAAGGAUUACUAUUUGACCAUAAUUGAUAAUUUUGUAAGUAAAAUUAUUAAUUUUUUAUGUUUAGGUUAAUUUGUGGUUUGAUUUGCAUCAAGGAACUUUGCAAAGGAGUUUAAUUCUAUUUUGAGGUAAGAGAUUUCUACUACCGAACCUUCGAUUUAAGAUUUAAGUUGUAUUGUAUGGAUUGACUAACAUGCACAUAAUUAAAAUGCAUUGAUAGUCUUAUGUGAGAGUUUGACAAAAAUUGUAUUGAUUUAUUUAUUUUACUGAAUACGUAACUAUGAAGUUUGUUGGUUGAUAUUGCAUGUUAUGUUUAUGCCUAUUAUUAGACUAAGUUUGAUUGCAAUAUGCCUAUUUGGUCUAAUGGUAGUUGUUACCUUUAGUUCUUAGGCUAGUGUACUCUGCACAUGUACGAAGUCCCUCGAGAUCACUACCUUUAGACUGAUAUUGAUGACUGAUUGACUGUUAAGUGUACGUUUAGGUUCACUUGAUGCCUGAUUUGUGUUCCUACGAGAUCACUAGACUGAUAUGACGACUCAGGGUACCUCCUAAUAGGAAGUUAUCGGUUUACCUAGCAAGACCAGUAGUGAAUCCCUUACUGUGUGUACUAUAUUUAUACUCACCAUUUUCAUGUUUAACUUUUCAGACAAAGGUAAGAGGAAAGGCAAGCUAACGAGCGACAAGAAGAAGAACCUGUGACUAGCCAUAUAGGAACUACUUGGUUUAUGCUUCCGUUAUUGUUUUUAGAAAGUUAAAGAUAAUUAGAUUAGUAAUGACUCCAGCUUGGUUAUUAAAAAUUUGGGUCAUUACAGGAAAUUAACCGACACCUAUAAUGGAAGGCUCAACUUUGGGUCAAGGAGGGUCCAGAUCUCGAAAGCUAACAUGGAUGACGAUUGAAGAAAACCUACUGUGAAAAGAAAAGAUAGGACCUUAUAAAUAGAAGGAUGAUGGAAGCACAAAGAAGGUACGUUGUCUUAUGUGCAUUUGAUUAUACUUUCAUUACAGAUUUUCUUGUAAACUUACUAAGUACCGAAACCAGUGUAGUUUACACCACAUCAGUGUGCCCAACCUUAUUCGGAUUUUUGCAGAUCAACUUAUCCCAAAAUUACAAAUUCACCAUUGUUGCCAAACUAAGGUCACACCAAUAUUGUUGACGAAAUUUUGACAUCAACAUUGCUAUGUAUCGCUAAGUGGAGAAUAGUGUUUCCUUGGUAUAUCCAAUUAAAAAGUAUUUCUAAUACCUAACAAAUUAUUCAUUUAAGAAAAUAGAGAAUGUUGUUUUUUACCUGAAUAAUAUUUCAAUAUGACAUAAGAUAAGAAGAAUGACUACAUUUUUAAAUAUUGCGAAAAAAUUAUCAAAUUAAAGACUAUACUUUGUAGUUAUAAUUCUUUUCUACUAUCCAUAACAAUUUUUUAUUUUAAAUAAUUUUCAAAUUCAAUCACAUAUAUAUUUGACACCUCCCAUGAAAGUCUUGGCAGCCUCCACAACUUGGAGUUAUUUAGUUUGUAAUUUGUUUGUAUUUGAAAACAAUUAUUGAGUGUCUUUCUCACAUAAAAAUUGAAAAAAUAAAAAAAUCAAAGCUGGAUAAAUGAUGAGAUCUAAAAUAAAGUCAAAAGGGAAAUGGUUUUUAACAAAUAGUUUAAUUUCAUUUUUUAUCACAUCUUGAAUCUUUCUUUUAAUAUUAAGUUAGGCAGAUCCAGUAAAAUUUAUUUUAAUGAUGAUUUUGGAAACAACUUUGGUGGAUAUUUUAUUCGGUGCCCAAACUUUAUUUUAAUAUCUGCCUAACUUAAUUAGAUCUAAUGUCUUGUUUAAUUAAUAGGAAACUGAACUUUUAGAUGAUUUAUAAUUUAUCUGAUAGAAAUAUUCUAAAAGUUUAUAAAUUUUGAAAUUUUGUUAGAGUUUGAUUCAUUUUGUUCAUUUGAAAACCAUCUUAUUUUUAUUUAUUAAGUAUUUGAUUUUCUUUUAAUUUUUGAAAAUUAAAGUUAAUAAACCCUCUUUUAAUUUUUUCUUUUUUUCUCUUUUUGAAACAUAGUUAGUGUACACCUAAUUUACUACUUUUAUAUAUAACAGAUUUACUUUCUAUUCAUAUUUUCAAAAGUUAAACUAAAGUAUAAAUCUAUCAUUAGAAAACUUGAAAACCAUAGAUUGAAAGAUUGGUUAAAAACCUAAAAGUUUUAGUUUCAUUUAAAUAACAUACAUCAACUUGAACUUGAAAAAUAAAUGUUGUAAGUUCGAAUAUUUCUUUCAAAACAAAUAUAUAUGGGUAAUAGUUGCUAAGAAGUCUAACCAUAAAUCUUGAGAUACAAUUGAUAAUAUUUGAAAUGUACACAUUUGAGAGUUAUGCUCACAUUAAUACGAAAAAACCUAUUAUUGCAAAGUUCCAAAUAUUUUUAUAUAUAUCAUUUUCGAUAACUUCAUAUUUUUAAACAAUAUUUGUUUGCUAUUUCAUCUUAAUGGCUAUUUUCGAAGGUGAUGUUUAGAGAAUUUCAUCUCACUACUUCCACUUUUUAAAUAACUAAAAGAAGAUUGAAUAUACAAAAUUAAAUUAAUAUAAGUGGGAGAAGAAGUAAUUAAAACUUCAAACCCAGUUGUGUGAGCAAUGAUCCAUCUCAUAAUGAUCUCACACUAAAUUUAAUUAUAUUUGUAUCUACCUCAUAUUAAUUAAUAAUAUUAUCGCCUUUAUAAAAAAGAAAAAGAAUAUAUUACAUUUAUUGGCCAAUUUGACCCUGAGUCACCAUUGGACCUAAUUUUGGAUAAGAGAUUGAACAAGUAGUAAACAAUAAAUUUGACAGCUAUUUUCAAACAAUACAAUUUUGGUAGCAAAGAUAAUACCAAUUCUUACAUUAACAUAUAUUCAUUUUUAAAUAUUUACGGCUAUAUAUUAUCAUUCACUAAUAAAUUUUUUACUAUAUUUUAAAAUAUUCUUAACCAUUUUUUCAUUUAAUACAAUUUUUAUAUAGAAUUAUUGCUUCUAAAAAAAUAAUAUAGUACAUGUCCUCAAGAAUCAAAUAUAUGGUGACCAAACAUGUCAAUUUUUUAAAAUAUUAAAUGUGAUACACAUUUGACAAAUUCAUUAAUUAACAACUCCUUUUAUCAUUAUUUUUUUUCAACUUUCUACGCUAUUAUCUUUUUUUUUUAUUGGUUUUAUUUUUUAAUAAAUUAACUAUUGCUCAUUAUAUAUUAUAACUUAAGGGCCAAAAUGUCAUACGUUCAUAUUGAGGGUCAGAAAACAAUUUGGAUUUCAUUGACUAACAGGUUCCUGUGAUAUAUAUUAAUUAAUUGAGAGUUAAUCACAACAAUAUCGUAUGCAUAUUAUUUUUUUUAUCUUCCAUAUUCCAAUCCGAUCAAGAAGUUUAAUUGUUAGUGCACAUUCCAAUCUUCAUUUCUUCAUUUAAAUUUUCCUUUUAAAAGAUUUUUUUCUCUUUUGGUUUGUGUCUUUUUAAUUUUGUGAGUUGUGAUAUGAUUGCUUUUUCAUGCAUUUCUCUGUCUUCAUAUAUGUUUUAUAUUAAAUUACAUACCUUUAUUUAUAUAUUUUGAAUGUUAUAUAUAUCUCUAAUCUCUAAAUUUUUCAAAAUUUUUCAAUUAAGUUUUUCAAUUUGGAUAAUACUAGACUAACAAUUUAUUUUUCAAUCUUCCUGCAAUUUAAUAGAUUAAAAUUAUAUUAUAUUUUUCCACAAAAUUUAAAGAAUUCAUUUUUAAAUGUAAUAUUAUAAUUAUAAACUAAAAUAUCUACUAAUAUAGUAAAAUUUAUCACGAUAUAUUUAAUUUUUUUAGCAAUUUUCGUUUAAAACAAAUUUAUAAAGUUUGGCAUUUUCGCCCUCCACUUUUAAAAUGAAGUUGAUAGCUAAGUAGAGAGAUGAAAAAAAAAAAAAGCGUAGGCGAAUAAUAGUUUGAUUAAAUUAAACCAAAUAGCAUUGUUUUUGGUUUUUUAAAAGCGGAAAUCCGUCCAACUAGGCGCCAAGUCACAGGUUUGACCGAAACAUCCGAGAAUGGAUAGAUAAACCAAUUGUGCAUUAAUAUUCCUCCCAAAGAACACUUGUGUUCAUGUACAUGUAUCCAUCCAUGUGUCGUUUAUCUCUCUAUCGCACAUAAAUCAGAUUAAAAUGUUCAUUUUAUUUUAAUUUUUAUGGACAGAUGGAGAUUAUAUAAACAGGUGUAUCUUAUAAUACUUAUUCAUUUUAGAUAUGAAAAAGUGUGAUAGUAAAUAAAUCAAUAAGUUCAAACAAAUGAAUAAAUAAGCUUAUUCAUUUGUAGUUUGUACUGCUUUUAUCACGAUAAUAUUAUUAUUUUGAUAUUUAUAUUUGUAGUUUCAUCGUCUUCGUUUUAUCAUUUCACAAUUUUUAAAAUAUCUACUAAAUAUAUUAUCUAUAUUUACUAGUUGAGUUAUUUGUGAAUUUAGAAUGUUCGUUUUCUAAGUGAAAAGUUGAAUUGAAUUCGAAAACCUAUAAAAAAAAUGUUAAAUAAAUUGAGUUAUCGUAAAUAUAUCGUUUAUUUGCUUUUACUAAUCUUUUAAAUAUUCGAUUGAAUUGUCUUACAUCUCACAUUGUGAUUUUUAAAAUUUAGAGCUUAGGCAUAUUGUGGGCAGUAUGUCCUAAACCCUAACUUUCCAUUUGACAAAAGUUAUAAUUAAACAAAGAAAAAUUGUUUUAAUAUAUUGCGUUUCUCAUACAUACAUCGAUUUAAAAAUAUAUUGUAAGUUCGUUUAUCAUACAACAAAUCGUAUUAUAUCUAGCUAACUCCGAUAAGAUAAGAUUGUUAUAGUUUCUAUUGUGUUUGAUUUCUAGCACACUGUUAUAGAAUCCUCCAAUAAUAUUGAACACAUAUGAAUGGCUAAAAAUGAUUUGAUUAGCUAACAACUUUUCCUAACCCAAACCCAACAUAUCUUUUACUUACGUAUCUGAACUAUUUCUCACCUACUCCCACUUUAAACAACUCACACCCAACACAAAAAUAUUCAAUGUCAAAAUACCAUAUGAUUCUUACGUGCAUACGUACACUCCCCACAAAAAUUUAAUUAAUUAAUCUAUUCUCUUAUAUAUAUAUAGUUGAUGGCUCAUAUGUAACCUUGAUUAUAGUUUAACUAGAAAAAAAUACAGAAACUCUAGAAAAAAAUGUUGGAAGUUUGAAAUUUCAUCUAUAUUUAUAGGCCUGGAUCAUAAUUUGGUUAGUAUCUUCACAUACAAUUUUCUUUUAUGAUCUAACCAUUAACCCUAACAAUUAUUGUUAGGUUAUGUAAUAAUAUUAUUUAAAUAACUGUUUUGAUCUUAAAUUGUAAGGAUGUAGAUAAUUUAGUUUCUAUACUUACCAAUUUGUAUAAAUUUAGUUUAAUCUUUAAUGUGUAGUAUUAUAACGAUCCUUUGUAGUUUAAAAGUGGUAAUGAUUUAAGUCCUAAACAAAGCUUCCUGCUUCUGUAACUAAAAUUGAGUGAAAAUCAAUUAAAUAUCAAUGAGUAUAUAGUUAAGUGAUUAAUAUCUAUAUUUCAUUUUGAUAAAAUAUUUCACCAUCAAAACUAAAAUACUAAUGUAUGACAUAUAAAAAAUAAAUGGUUACAAAUUUGCUAUUAAGAUGUAUACAUAAAGUGGACAAUAUCAUACUAUACACGGUAGAAAUAUUUAAAAAAUUUGUUGUCCUAAUACAACAUAUAUCAUUACAUCAUUGUCGUUUCAAUUAUGAAAGAAAAGUGUAUAAAAGUAUUGCUUACACAAUAAACUAUAUAUGACUUACACAAUCCAAAGGAAAGGAAAGAAAAAACAUGAAAUGCUUUUAAAAAUAGAUAUUUUCCAAUGAUACAAUUUUAAUUUUAAUUUGAGCAUAUUGUAGGUUUGAAUCUGUUCUCACUCUAAUGUUAUAACUUAUAGUCUAUCGAAAAAAAAAUUCAAAAAUUUGAAUAAAGCUAUUGAUCCAAGUAAAUUGAAUCAAGACUUGAUCAUAAAAAGCAACAUUCAUUCGCAAAUUAAUUUGCACACUGUAUGCUGAGACGUUCAUUCCACUUUCACCAUUGAGAUUUGAUUUUCGAAAAUUAAACUAAUAAUUUUUCGUUUUUUUUCUUUCAUUUUUAAUUUCUUUUUAUUUAAGAGUUUUGAUUUAUAAUAAUAAGUGGCUAAUAAAAUUACCCUCAUUAAUAUUAAUAUAUAGUCUAGAUCAUAUAUAUGUAUAUGAAUGUCACCUAAUCAGAUCAACUUGUCUAUCAACCUUAUUAAAUGUAAGUGUAGACUUAUUAGGAAGAAAAUUUCCAUUUUGUGAUGCCUCAAUUGGAAUUAAUUUUGACUAGGAUAAACUAUUAAAUUAUCUCCAAAAUUUUAUAUUACAUUAAUGAUAAACACCUAAUAGACAAUUUAUAUCCAUGUCUAUCAAUAUCAACUAUAAUGAUAUAUAAUUUUUUUUUAUAUUUUGUAAAUAUUUUGAUUUAUUUCGUUAUAUUUGAAAAUAUAUGUUAUCUUUUUCUUUCAAAAAUAUGGUUGAGGAUAUCACAAUCACAACAAAUAAAAAAUGUAUAUAUAAAUUUACGGUCAAAUUCUUACCUUGAUAACUCAUAUUUUGAUGGAAUCCAUAUAUAUUAAUUAACAACAUAACAUUUUAUUAAUUUCCUUGGGGAAAAAGAAUAGAAAAAGUAUUUGUGGGCACCAUUAUGUAAUUGGAGUUGAUAGGUAAAUUAAAUUGAGAAAGUAGGAAGAGGAAAUAAAAGUUGAGCUUAGAGUAGUUGGAAUGAAGCAAACAAAAAAAUCAGAGGUUUUUAAUGCAUAUAUUGGAAAAAUAGGUUUUAUUUUUCUAUUUGAUAUGAACAUAAAUAAUCAAUUCAAAUUAAAUUAAACAUUAAAUUAAAUCAUUUAUUGUAAUAGAUUAUUCCAAAAAGGAAGAACCAAUCUACCAUAAAGACAAAAAGAUUUAUAGUCUCUUAGGUUAACAUAAGAAAAAAAUAUUUUGUAAGAAACUUAUGUUUGUUUAAAUUUAUUUUUAAAAAUGCUUAAAAUAUAUUUAAAAAACUGUUUUUAGUAGCUUCCAAAUAAUAAUCUAAUUUUCUUCCAAAUAAUUUAUUUUUUAAAUUAAACAUUUGAAAGUUAGAAUGACUCCAACCUCAAUAAUUCACCUUUGGGUAUGUAAAUGAAUCUAGACCCUCUUAAAAUCUAAUUACAUUCUAUUUCUUUCAUUCACGAAUUUAUUUUAGAAAAAUAUAUCAAUUAUGUUUAAAAAUUUAUUAUAAAUAACAAAAAUAUUUAUAAAAUAUAAAUUUACAUUAUUUCUAUCCAUAUAACUUAUAAAUACUAAUAAUUUCCGGUAGAUUUGAGUUUUAUUAUAUUUUGUAAAAGAAAAAAAUUGUUCAUUUUGUUAUUUUAAAAAUGUUCCAUCAUAUUUCUUAGAUUAAAGUUAGAAUAUGUUACUAAGUUUUAAUUUGUAUUGAAAAGAUUAACAAUGUCUUAUAUUAGUAACUUUAAAUUUUGUUUAUAAUAUAUUAGUAAAUUCUUAAGAAACAUAAUAUAACGAAUUGUUUUGUAGCAUGAUUAAAAAGACUCAUUAUAUAUGUUUUAAAAUCCAAAAAACUAAAUUUGUAAUUUAUAGUCUAUAUUCAAGUUCUCAAAUUAUUAUUUAAAUAUUUCUAACACAAUUUAACAAAAAAAUAUAAUUUUGACACAUACAUGUUCAAGUGGUUAAUGCAUAGUAUAUGUAAGUUAUAAAUUGUGUAAACGAUAGCACGUAGAUUAAAUAGAAUAAGAUAUAGAUGCUUUUUACAUAUUCAGACUAAGAACUUAUUUGUCUGGUUGAAUUAUGGUCUCAUUCACGUAGUAUACAUUACAAAAGGAAAGGAAUUUGAGAAGAGAAGUGAUUCAAAAAGAAGAAAAAAGGAAAAUGAAAAGAACAAAAGAAAAAAGAAAAAGUAUAGAUAGGAAGUAUUUGAAUAGGAACCCAGUGGUCGCCCACAGAAAAACGUAGGAGUAAACGCCAAGGCCAUGCAAAUUGUGUAACAGUGAAAGCAACCCUACAAAAUGGACCAUCGCUCCCAUUCUCAAAGCUUAAAAAUUAGAUGAAGAAUAAGUCAAGCCGCCGGUCCCACUCCAUCAACCCCUCCUCCUAAUUCCAACACUAAUUCACCAAAUUAUAUUUUCAAUUUAAUUAUUUCUUUCUCUUUCUAGCUAAUUACUUUUUAUAUUACACCAAUUAUUAACAUCAUUUUGAGAUUUGAGUAACUUUAAUUAUAUAAAUUUAUUUACAUAUCUAACUAGUAACACUGUUGGUGUAUGUAAGAUUAAUUUAACUAUAUAUGUGUUUAUUAUCAGCUUAAGCAACCCUGAUGAACAAAAAUAUCUCACAUCUUUAAUGUCAGAUAUACACACAUAUAUGUAUAUAUUGAAAAGGUAAAAUCCUUGGUGGAAGGUUAUAUAAAAUUAGUCCAAACAUGAUGACAACACAUAAUAUUAUUUUAACUAUCUUGUCAUCUACCGACAAUAAUAUGUGUGCAUGUCUAUAUGAUUUCAUGGUUUUUAAUUAAAAAAAAAUUAGGUGGAGUAAUUAAAUUAGAUUUCACCGGUGAUCAUUAUGUUAAGACUUGAGAGGGGGGUUUGAGUGAGUGAAGUGGGUAAAAGGACAAAGCUAUAUAAAGGGAGGAAAGGCAGUGUUAAAAACCCACCAAUCCAUUCAAGGAUGGGAAAAAUGGGAUCUUCAAUGGCUCCUAUUCUUUUUGCUGCCUUUGUUGCUCUCCUUUCCCUAACUCUGCCGUCCACUACCAAUGCUAAUUAUAUCUACGCUUCUCCUCCUCCACCUAAGAAGGUAUAUUACCCGCCUCCAGUAUACCAUUCUCCUCCACCACCCAAGAAAUCAUACUAUCCACUCCAGUGUAUCACUCUCCACCACCACCCAAGAAGGUUUACUAUCCACCACCAGUUUACUCUCCACCACCACCAAAGAAGGUGUAUUACCCACCUCCUGUCUACAAGUCUCCUCCGCCACCCAAGAAGGUUUAUUACCCACCUCCCGUCUACAAGUCUCCUCCGCCACCUAAGAAGGUGUACCCACCUCCCGUCUACAAGUCUCCCCCGCCCCAAGAAGGUGUACUACCCACCUCCCGUCUACAAGUCUCCCCCACCUCCCAAGAAGGUGUACUACCCACCUCCGUCUACAAGUCUCCCCCACCUCCCAAGAAGGUAUACUACCUCCUCCCGUCUAUAAGUCUCCUCCACCACCAAAGAAGGUAUACUACCCACCUCCAGUCUACAAGUCUCCCCCACCUCCCAAGAAGGUAUACUAUCCACCACGUCUAUAAGUCUCCUCCACCACCAAAGAAAGUAUACUACCCACCACCAGUCUACUCACCACCACCGCCAAAGAAGGUAUACUACCCACCUCCCGUCUACUCACCACCACCACCGAAGAAGGUGUACUACCCACCUCCCGUCUACUCACCACCACCACCGAAGAAGGUGUACUACCCACCUCCCGUCUACUCACCACCACCACCGAAGAAGUAUACUACCCACCCCCGUCUACUCACCACCACCACCGAAGAAGGUAUACUACCCACCACCCGUCUACUCUCCACCACCACCGAAGAAGGUAUACUACCCACCACCCGUCUACUCUCCACCACCACCGAAGAAGGUAUACUACCACCACCCGUCUACUCUCCACCACCACCGAAGAAGGUAUACUACCCUCCUCCCGUCUACUCUCCACCACCACCAAAGAAAGUAUACUAUCCACCUCCCGUCUACUCUCCACCACCACCAGUAUACCACUCCCCCACCUCCGGUCUAUCAUUCUCCACCACCACCAGUAUACCAUUCCCCACCACCUCCCGUUUAUUACUACUCAUCGCCACCGCCACCUCCACACUACUAGGAAUUAAAUGUCCUAGGUCAAGGUAAUUUUAAAUCUCCCACCAAAUUGCGUUGUCUUUUCUCCACGUAUAUAACAGUAAACAUAACUAAUAAUAUAUGUUACUUUCAAAGGACAGAGAAAUGUGGAUGAAAAUGAAAACAAACAAAUAAUAAUUCUGUGGAUUUUUAACAUCAUAAAAAUUUGGUUGGCCGUCACUAAAAUUUGGACUACUGUUUAUGAUUUAUAUCCAAAAUUCAGUGGUAGGGACCCCAAUAGAUAGAGAAAAUUCAAAAAUAAAAAACAAAAACUUGGGUCCAAAUAAUUAAUUUUGGUUAAUUUGUUGUGUUGUG
rnacentral:lncRNA from 1 species